AGAAUGCAGGUUUCCGAGGACAUGACCCUUGAUAGGAAAGUCUGGAGGUCUAGAAUCAGGGUUGUAGGAUAGGGACUCCUAGAGUUUUUCGUACGCCUCAUCUGGGGUUGGGUGUGGCUCAGCAGGGUUACCCAUAGAUGAUAUGUGUUUUAGCGUAUGUCCCCCCUAUGGGUGUUAGUUAUGGUAGUUACUGUAUGAUAUUAUUGCAUGCGAUUGUAUUUAUGUUUCGUAUGUUNNNNNNNNNNNNNNNNNNNNNNNNNNNNNNNNNNNNNNNNNNNNNNNNNNNNNNNNNNNNNNNNNNNNNNNNNNNNNNNNNNNNNNNNNNNNNNNNNNNNNNNNNNNNNNNNNNNNNNNNNNNNNNNNNNNNNNNNNNNNNNNNNNNNNNNNNNNNNNNNNNNNNNNNNNNNNNNNNNNNNNNNNNNNNNNNNNNNNNNNNNNNNNNNNNNNNNNNNNNNNNNNNNNNNNNNNNUUUACUGCUGUUUUUCCUUAUCCUAUGAGCCGGGGGUCGAUUGGAAACAGCCUCUCUGUCCUUUCGGGUAGGGGUAAGGCUUGUCUACAUAUUACCCUCACCAGACCCCACCUGAUGGGAGUAUACUGGAUAGUUGUUAUUGUUAGAAUUCUUCAAUUGUUUAUUUAUAUAAGAUAAACCGGCUGUUGAUAUUUUUCAGGCCUAUCAUUUUUGUUUGUCAAGUCUUAAGAUAGAUAUAGUUUAUGUUACUACUUGAAUUUGCAUAUACAAGCAGCUCAACCUUCACUUUAUUGAGCCAUCGUAUAUAUUCAAUCAACCAUUGGUUUAUAUAUUUUUAUGAGUGGAGAGUUCCAAUUACCUUUCAGAACCAUUUGAUUGUGAUAAGGAAAUAAUUGAAGAGAAAAAAAUGAGACUUAAAGGUAAAGAAAAGAUACUACAGCAAGCCUAUAACUUGUGGAUGUAGAAGAAAAAUAAAUCAAACGUCUAUUCUGUUAUUAGUCUAAUGAGCGAUCUCUGACUGUGGGCAUCUGGUGAGUGUCGACCAUUGGUUUUCUCGUCUAAUACAUGAAACAUGAUCCGAUUUCUAUUUUUCUAUUUGUGCUCUUUGCUUGGUUGAAUUAAGACCACCAACAAGAACAAUUUCAACGAUUAUUUUGGCUUCAACGGACAUUAAUCUUGAAACAAAAUAUUUCCAAUGAGAUUUCUCAGUACCGUAGCAAAGUCAGAUUUUGCGAUUCUAAAGAAGUGCGGUGCAAUCUUUUACAAGAAUACCAUACGAACUUUUUCUUACUCCAUGUAUGUUAAGGUUAUCCCUUCUUUCUUUUGGCAUGAUCCAUACGAUACAAACGAAACGAGAAAAUACACAACUUCCAUAAAUGAUUCUAUUCAUAGAAGUAUUAGAUGUGCCUAUGUUCUUGAAUUUUCAUAUGUCUUACUAUUCUAUUGUCUGUUCAUGGGUUUAAAAAAAUACUAAGUUGAUAAAAUUUAUUUCAUAAUAUUAAUCAGAGAUAUAAUGGUCUUAUGACGUUCCAAUAGAUUUUAUUAACGUACUUCUUAUUCAUUGCAUUCAUUUAUACAUAUACAUUGACCCAUGACCAGACGAGUAUAUAUGUAUAUUAUAAGUAUAUGGGAUAUGGGAAAAUGUUACAUCAUUAUAUACGUACCACCAACUGAUCAACUGAUAUACGAUGAUGAGUUUGCCCACAGUGGCCGAGAAUGAUAUGAUGGAAUGCCCUCAGAGACUUGAUGAUAUUAUGAACACAUGUACUUAUGCACGACAUGACAUUAAUACGCAUAUGCAUGACACUAUAAGUAUUUCAUAAUUUACAGAGUUGUCCAGACUUACAGGUUGAAUCAUUUACUUUAUAUUUCCUCCAUGUCAUUUAUGUCCUUAUUUACGUGUCGUAUAUACGUUGUACAUUAUUCGUACUGACGUCUCUUUUUCCUGUGGACGUUGCAUUUCAUGUCCACAGGUCCCGAUAGACAGGUCGAGAUAGACAGGUCGAGAGUUCUCCAAGUAGGCCAUUAGCUCAGCAUAAGAUGUUGGUGCGCUCCAUUUGCUCCGGUGUUGCUUGUUUGGUCAGUAUGAUUUAGACGCAUAUUAUUUGGUAUGGCGGGACCCUGUCCCGACCUUUAUGAUAAGUAAGUACUCUUAGAGGUUUGUAGACAGAUGCCAUGUAUACGGAUGCUCGUAUGGCCUUGCCAGCCUAUGUUUUAAGUUUACAAAUGAUCAUGUUGGCCUUAUAUGUCACAUGUAUAAAUUUUUUUUAUCAGGUUGGGUCGUCCUAUAUAGAGUAUUCCCCUAUGUCUAUUCUGGUUAUCCUAUGACGGCCCAUUUGGUCCAUUUGUCAAUGAAAGUACAAUAAGAAAGAUGUGAGAAUGCACGGGAAAAUAUUAUUGAUUAAUGUUGAUAAUGUUACAAUGAGCCAUAUAUAUAUAAUACAUGUCCUACUCUUAAUAAAUAUGAGAUUAGGAUUAUUUAUUACUAUUUAACUAUCAAGCUAACACUCCCUCUUAAGUCGGUGCAUGUAAAUAUAUGUACCGGGCUUGUUAAUAUAUAACUAAUACGAGGACCAGUGAGGGACUUGGUGAAAAUAUCAAUAAGUUGAUCAUUCAACUUCACAAAUUUUGUAGCAAUAUCUCCCGAGAGUAUCUUUUCUCUAACAAAGUGAUAGUCAANNNNNNNNNNNNNNNNNNNNNNNNNNNNNNNNNNNNNNNNNNNNNNNNNNNNNNNNNCCGAGAUUAUCUUUUCUCUAACAAAGUGAUAGUCAAUCUCGAUGUGUUUAGUUCUCUCAUGGAACACUGAAUUUGAUGCAAUAUGAAGAGCAACUUGAUUAUUGUACACAAGUCUCAUCUGACUAAUCUCACCAAAUUUCAACUCAUUGAGCAACUGUUUGAUCCAAAUUAGCUCACAUGUGGCCAUAGUCAUUGCUCGACAUUCUGCUUCUGCACUAGACCGAGCAACCACAUUCUGUUUCUUGCUAUUUCAAGACACCAAAUUUCCUCCUACUAAGACACAAUAUCUAGACGUAGAAUGUCUACCAGAAGGUGAUACUGCCCCCAUUGCUCGAUAUUCUACUUCUACACUAGACCGAGCAACCAUAUUUUGUUUCUUGCUCUUUCAAGACACCAAAUUUCUUUAUACUAAGACACAAUAUCUAGACGUAGAACGUCUAUCCAAUGAUCUUCUCAUGGCCUCGAUCCUCAAACAAUAAGCCUUUGUCUGAAGCUGAUUUUAUAUACCCAAGAAUGCGGACAACGACAUCCCAAUGACUAUUACAGGGAGACUCAAUAAACUAACUCACAGGAAAGAAAAUAUCAGGUCUAGUCAAUGUGAGGUAAUUUAAUUUACCAACCAACCACCUAUAUCUUGCCGAAUUGCUAAUAGGCUCCCCCUGUCCUGGUAGAAGUUUAGAAUUCGGGUCCAUUAGAGUGUUAACAGGUCUACAACCCAUCAUUCCCGUUUCCUCAAGAAUAUCUAAGGCAUGCUUCUAUUGUGAGAUCACAAUACCUGAGCUAGACUGAGCAACCUCAAUACCCAGAAAAUACUUUAAUCUGCCCAGAUCCUUAGUCUGAAAGUGCUGAAAGAGAUGUUGCUAUAACUUACUAAUACCAUCCUGAUCAUUGCCGGUAAUAACAAUAUCGUCAACACAAAAGACCAUAUAAAUAUAGAGAUUUGAAGCAGAAUGUUGAUAAAUAUAGAGUGAUCAGCUUCACUAUGAGUCAUGCCAAACUCCUGAAUAAUUGUGCUGAACUUACCAAACCAGGCUCGAGAAGAUUUCUUUAGACCAUAGAGGGACCGACGCAACUGACAUACAAGGCCACUAGACUCCCCCGAGCAAAAAAAACAGGUGGUUACUCCAUAUAAACCUCAUCCUUAAGGUCACCAUAAAGAAAAUCAUUCUUAAUGUCCAACUGAUAGAGAGGCCAAUGACGAACAUCAACCAUGACUAGAAAAAGGCUGACUGAUGCAAUUUUAGCCACGUGAGAGAAAGUAUCAUUGUAAUCGACUCCAAAUAUCUGAGUAUAUCGUUUGGCAGCAAGAUGAGCCUUAAGUCGAUCAACCUGGCCAUCAGAACCAACUUUGACUGCAUACACCCAACGACAACCAACAAUCGAUUUACCCGAAGGAAGAGGAACGAGCUCCCAAGUACCAUUCAUAUGUAAAGCAGACAUCUCGCCAGUCNNNNNNNNNNNNNNNNNNNNNNNNNNNNNNNNNNNNNNNNNNNNNNNNNNNNNNNNNNNNNNNNNNAAGCCCCCAAGUACCACUCGUAUGUAAAGCAGACAUCUUGUCAAUCAUAGCUUGUCGCCAUCUGAGAUGAGAUAGUGCUUCAACUGUAGACUUAGGGGUAGAAACAAAGGACAAAGAUGACACAAAUUCACAAUGGGAUGAUGAGAGGUGAUGGUAUAUUAAACCAAUAUAAUGAGGAUUAGGAUUAAGUGUGAACCGUAUACCUUUUUGUAGUGUAAUCGGUUGAUUAAGAGGAGACAAGUCCACAGUAUUUACAGGGUCAGGUGCAGGAUGUGAAUCAGGUGGAACUGAUGCUUGGGGUAGACGACGUGAUAGGUCAGGAGUGGUGGAGCUGUAGAAGGUUGAACUGGACUAGGUGGUGGCACUGGAGCUAUUGUUGGUGGUACUGGACUAGGUGGUAGCACUGGAGCUAUAGUUGGUGGAACUAGACUCAGUGGUGACACUGGAGAUAUAGGUAGUGGAGCUGCAACUGGAAUUGUAGGCGGUGGAGCUAUGGAGGAAGAUGAAUGGGAGAUAGGGACAGAACCACGAAAAGAAGGAACGGGUAGCACCUCAGAAAUAUCUAAGUGAUUAUCUGGACCUGUGAAGUAUGAUUAGGUUUCAAAGAAGAUAACAUAAACAGACAUAAGAAAUCGCUGAUGUUCAGGAGAAUAACAUCUAUAUACCUUUUAGGUUCUCGAGUAACCCAGAAAUAUGCACUUAGAUCAUGAGGCGCUAACUCAUAUUUUCCUGGAGUAAGGUCAUGAACAAAGCACGUACUCCCAAAGACACGGGAUGGGAGAGAGAACAAAGGUAUGUGGGGAAAUAAGAUAAAGAAUGGAACUUGAUUUUGGAUAGCUAAAGAUGGCAUAUGAUUAAUAAGAUAAAAAGACGUAAGUACCGCAUCCCCCCAAAAACGCAGCGGAACAUUAGAUUGUAUGAGUAGGGUACGAGUGGUUUCAAUAAGAUGUCUAUUCUUUCUUUCAGCUUCCCCAUUUUGUUGGGAUGUGUAUGGAUAAGAUGUUUGAUGAACAAUCCCAUGGGAGUUCAUAAAUUGUUGAAAUGGGAAAGACAAAUACUCUAGGGCAUUAUCACUAUGAAAUGUGCGGAUAGACACCCCAAAUUGAUUUUGAAUUUCAGCGCGGAAGGUCUGGAAACUAGAAAACUACUCAGAUCGAUUUUUCAUCAAAAAUAUCCAAGUGCACCUGGAAUAAUCAUCAAUGAAACUGACUUGAAUUUCUGCAUGGAAGGUCUGGAAAAUAGAAAACAACUCAUAUCGAUUUUUCAUCAAAAAUAUCCAAGUGCACCUGGAAUGAUCAUCAAUGAAACUGACAAAGUGGGGGAAUCCUAUGGUAGAACUAACCCGACUAGGACCCCAAACAUCUUAAUGGACUAAAGUAAAAGGUGACUCUUCUCGAUUAUCAAGUCGCCACAGGAAAUAGGAGCGGGUAUGCUUACCGAGAUGACACGACCCACGCUCUAGAGUGGACAAGUGAGAUAAUCCAGGUACAAUUUUCUAAAGUUUUGACAAACCGUUUAUGUAAUAAAUAUAGUGAAUCAAUUACGAGACAAGUUAUUGUAGGAAUACAAAAUGCGGAGUCCAUAUGACUUGCAAGGAUAAGGUAAUAAAGUCCAUCUGAUUCACGUUCGGUACUAAUAAUCGCCCUGUACUAAUGAUCUGGAUAAUUGUUGAAGCAGAAAUUGAGGAUAGUGAGUGGGUUAAGACUCGGCUAGAGCAGUUGUCAUUAAUUGAUGAAAAAUGAAUGGCCGCGGUUUCUCACGGGCAGGUGUACCAACAAAGAAUGACCUACCCUUACAACAAGAAAGUGCGCUCCAUGAAUUUCGAGGUCGGACAACUUGUAUUAUGGCGUUCUGCCUCACCAUCAGGAAAUUAAAGGCGAAAAAUGAAUGGCCGCAGUUUGUCACGGGCAAUUAUACAAACAAAGAAUGGCCCGCACUUACAACAAGAAAGUAAGCCCCGGGAAUUUUGAAGUCGGACAGCUUGUAUUGAGACGUAUUCUCCCUCACCAUCAGGAAGCUAAAAGAAAGUUUUCUCCGAACUGGAAAGGUCCAUACAACUAUCAGAAAGAUACUGCCCAAAGGAGCGUUGUACCUGGGUGACGUUGAAGGACACGAUCCCGAAACAGUAGUGAACGCAGAUGCAGUAAAAAGGUAUUACGUUUGAACUCCCUGCAUCAAUGAUUCAGGCUGGUUGAAGUGACGAAGGCUUUUCUUUCUCGCCACCCUAAACACUAUCAAUCCUUCGCAAACCCUUUUGAGCCGGUUACGUUUAUUUGAUCACCCUCUUUGGAACCCGAAAGUGCUAUCAAAAAAAAGAAGAAAAAAAAAGAGAAAAGAAAAAAAAAGGAAUGAAAAAAAAUAAAAAAAUAAAAAGAAAAAAGAAAAAAGGAAUGAAAAAAAAGAAAAGAAAGAAGAAACAAAAAACAAAUUAGUUUAGGGAACACUUCCUGAACUACGUCUGAUUUGAUUCCGAAAAGAUAUGUAGACAGCCUCUCCCUGAGGUUCAGUCAUAUCAAAAUAAAACCCCAGUUCCCUAAAAACGAAACUGGGGCAGAUGAUGUAAUGAGUCGGCCACGAAGCCGCCAGAAUGGUUCCAAAGUUGUAGGUUUCUGCCCAAUUUUCUUUAACCAAGGACCUGGCCCAAGUCCUUCCGAUCGAUUGGCAAAGGCAGGGACACGACAAACACCAUUGUUGGAAUUUGGCACAAUUCGAUUUGAGAGAAAUAAAAUGAGAGAGUCUUAUCGGUGAAAACCUUUGUGCACCAUAACGCGAUGGUGAGUAGAGAAAAAAAAUGAGAGAGUCCGUUUAGUGAAAACUCAUAAAAGAUCAUUAUCGGGCGACGAGAGAAGAGAAAUGAGAGAGGUCGAUUGGCGAAAACCCGCAAAGGGUACCGUCGGCCGAAAAGGAAAAAUAUCACCAUCAAAACCAAGCAAGUUUCCAUGAUUUUGAAAGAUUGAAAUAAGGGUCACAAGAAGCAGGAAAUGGGUACGGGUCGGGCAUCCAGUCCAAAAAGCAUAUCAUGUCCAUUUGAAGUUGGCAUGCACCCCCAGAUAAGUCCUUCCCCUUUUCCCCGAAAGGAACACUUCUCUCUAAAUCCAUAUGAUUGUUUUUGUUGAUUCCCCGAAUCCCUUUCGGCUUAACUUUGAUUUCAUGACUAUUCUGCAAGAAAAGGUGGUAAGACCGGCCUCACAGGGCUCUCCUGGCAAGGACCAAAGAAAAUACCCAGUCUCAGCUGAUGCAUCUAGCCAAGCCUGACUAGCCAUGACGGUUGACGUUUCAAAAGCAAAAAAGGUGGAAAGAAAGAAAAUGAAAGACAAAUACCCAUGAAGGCAAAUGAAGAUUUGAAAGGUUAAGCCCGAGUGGGAUAAUUGUCUUCACAUAAGUUUCAAAAGGCAGGCCUUCAAGUGGAAAUCGGGGCAAAGAAGUCGUAACCAAGGGCCUAUAAAAGCGAAACAAAUUUAAAAGAUGAUGUCUCCCGACCAACCUACAAGGCAAAGUCAGGAGUAAGGCCGGGAUCAAGCAAAUCAAGGCCAUAAAACCAACCACUGUUACAAACUAACAAAUCUUGCUUUGUUUGAAAAUUUGAAACAUGCGUAAUCCAAAGCAAUGGGAUACACAGCAAAUUCAACCAAAGGAAAUGCACAAGAGCUAAGAAUAGCCUUGCACCAAUGAUCAAUAAAAGGGAAGUUCUUUUCACAUGUUUUCCAGCAGUUUCUAUAAAAGAAAAGAAAAAGGAGGGUCACAAACUCUGAUAGCAUAAGACUCCGAUCCCCGACUCCUUCUCCAAAUCUAGGACCACAUCCUCUAUCUCUCCCCAGCAUAACCUGAGGGACCUUUCUUUUGUCCACCCCUGGCAUAACCCAAGGAUCAUACUCUAUUCUACCCAGCAUAAACUGAGGAUUCCUUUCCCGGCAUAACCCGAGGGUUCCUCUCUCCAUCCCCAGCAUAACCUGAGGACCUUUCUUUCUGUCCAUCCCCAGCAUAACCUGAGGGACCUUCUUUUUCUUUCAUUCCCAAGCAUAACCUGAGGACCAAUUUCCCUCCAUCCCUAGUAUAACCUAAGGGUCUUUACUUUCUCUCUAUCCCCAGCAUAACCUGAGGGACUUAUUUGCCUUUCAUUCCCUACCAUUCCCCAGCAUAACCUGAGGGCCUUUCUCUUUACUUCCCAACACGAGUCUUUUUCUUCCUAUCCCGGCAUAACCCGUGGAUUCCCCUGGCAUAAUUCAGGAGUUUUCUUUCAAAUCCAGGCAUAACCCGCGGAUCCCCCUAGCAUAACCUAGGAGUCUUUUCUUUUUCAAUCCCGGCAUAAUCUGCGGACCCCCCUAGCAUAACCUAGGAGUCUUGUCUUUUUUAAUCCCGGCAUAACCCAUGGAUCCCCCUUACAUAACCUAGGAUUCUUCUUUCAAAUCCUCGCAUAGCCCGCGGAUCCCCCUAGCAUAACCUAGGAGUCUUCUUUCAAAUCCUGGCGUAACCCGCGGAUCCCCCUAGCAUAACCUAGGAGUCAUUUCUUUUUCAAUCCCGGCAUAACCCGCAGAUCCCCCUAGCAUAACCUAGGAUUCUUCUUUGAAAUCCCGGCAGAACCCGCAGAUCCCCCUAGCAUAACCUAGGAGUCUUCUUUCAAAUCCCGGCAUAACCUGCGGAUCCCCCUGGCAUAACCCAGGAUUUCCUUCUUUCAAAUCCCGGCAUAACCCGCGGAUCCCCUAGCAAAACCUAGGAGUCUUUUAUUUUUCAAUCCCGGCAUAACCCGCGGAUCCCCCUAGCAUAACGUAGGAGUCUUCUUUCAAAUCCCGGCAUAACCCACGGAUCCCUCGAGCAUAACCAAGGAGUCUUUUCUUUUUCAAUCCCGGCAUAACCCGCGGAUCCCCCUAGCAUAAACUAGGAGUCUUUUAUUUUUCAAUCACGGCAUAACCCGCGGAUCCCCCUAGCAUAACUAGGAGUCUUCUUUCAAAUCCCAACAUAACCCGCGGAUCCCCUAGCAUAACCUAGGAUUCUUCUUUCAAAACCCGGCAUAACCUGCGCAUUUGAUUUGAUUUCCUUUUGGUGUCAUAAGGGGGUCAGCCAGCAGUAGCAGCAUCAUCAGCAGUGAAAUCACAGCUCAUGGUAGUACCAGCUACCAAACAUACCAGAACUACACUAACCUAAUUCCUUUAUAGCCAGGAAUAUGUAGGCAACCUUUAAAGUAGGUUUCGGUCAGAUAGUUUUCAAAAUGCUUCUCAUGGAAUGCAAAGCAGACAAAAAUCUCUCAAUUGCUCAUCUAUCUUUGCCCGGAAACCCUUCGUGUCUCCGAGCAAAGAGGGGCAGCUGUGAGCAUGUAAUUUUUGCCUCGCUCUAAAUGUUCCUAUAAAAUUCAUUAAAUUAGGGUUUUUCUUUUAUUAUUUGAAUUUUUAGGAUUUAUUUGCGUGAUUUUGUGUUUAUUUGCAUUUUUCCCUUUUAUUACUUGAAUUUUAGGAAUUAACUGCGUGAUUAUGUGUUUAUUUUUAUUUUUGUUUUUUAUUAUUUAAAAUUUUUAGAAUUAAUUGCAUAAUUUUGUGUUUAUUUGUAUGUUGCACGUUUUAAUUAAUAUAAUUAGUAAAAAUAUAAAAAUGGCAUGUCUACAUUUAGGACUUAAUUUUCUAUUUUUUCUUUUGGGUUAUUAGUUAAUUAAUAUUGAAAACAAGAAAUAACAAAAAAAAAAGAGAUUGGUUAUUCUUACAUGUGUUCAAUUUUCUUUCAAAAUUUAGAAUUUAGGGUUUUAUUUAGUCUAUUUUGUAGAAGUUAAAUAUGCUUUGAUUUAUUGUUAUUUUUAUUACUAAAAAAUCUGAAAAUAUAAUAAAUAAAUAAAAAGAUAAUAAAUACAUAAAUAUGGGUCUUUGUUAAAGACCAUAUUUUGGGCCACUUCUAGCCACAAACCUGCCCAAAAAUCACCUGACCCAUUAAAUAAACCCAGACCCAAAGCCCCCCACCCGGUCCAAAACGGCAGGCUCAAAGCGGCGUCGUUUUACGUCAAAAGCAUCUGGGCCGUUGAUCAAUCUUGAUCGAACGGUCAAGAUGCAAGCGGUGUUACACUAUAUAAGUAUCGGAUAACACCCCCUACCAAAAGACGUCGUACCAUAUCCAAAAAAUAACCUUAAUUCUGCCGGUGUAACACCACCACAUCCCCACCAUCCCUCCACCGCCCGCCGGCGGCGGUGUAACCCCAAAUCCACCCAAGUUUACACUCUAUAAUCCCCGUAUUCUCCUCUUUCAACCCCCUAAAAUCACCCCUCAAAACCUAGCUAAACUCGUCGAAUCUUCUUCCAAAGGAGCGGCUGCUCCGCCGUCCACGGCGGCGCAGGCUCCAAUGGCUUCCAAAUUAACACCCCUACUCCCCUUGGCCUCCCUUACCCAAAAACCAAUCCCGUUUCCCUCGAACAACUCCAAGCUCUUCUUACAUCUGAGAUUUGACCUAAUUUUGAGACGGAUUAUUUCAAGCCUUAUUUGGGUUUCCAAAUAGAGUUGCAUGUUUGUUUUGACCAAAAACAAACAUGUAAUUCCGUUUGGAGAUUCAAACUAAAUCCGACCAAGCCUUGUUGAAGAUCCAAGUAGUGAGUUCACCUCUAUUCUUUUUCUUCUUUGUUGAUUUUCGUCUUCAUUCUUUUUUUUUUCUUUCUUGUCCAGCAAUUGGGUGUUAUAUUAUUCCUAAUUUUUAGUUUAAAUUGAAAGUGUCAUCGUGUCUAGUUUGUGAGUUAUUCGAGUAGUUAGUCCUUUAGACUGGAUGCUUGAUUCUAGUUGUGGUGCUAUAUUUCUCAAACGAUUCUGAUUAUUACAAAUUUGCUUCAGUAUUUUUAGCCUGGAUUCCGUUUAGGUUUUUAAUUUUUUAAAAUAUGAUUUGGUUUUGUUAGUAGGUUAAUUAGUAGUUAGAUUUCACAGUAGGAUGCCAUGUUGGUGUAGCUGUGCAUGUUUCUUUUGAAUGUCUUCAUUUCAGUUUUUUACGUAAAUCCAUGUUAGCUUGUAGCAGUGAUAAGUAAUAAGUCAUUAGUCUUAGAUUUUCAAUUCAAUUUUCUGAUUAGUGGUUCAGAUUUGGUCAUGUUUUGGUUGUAGCUGUUACUUAGCAGUAAUUAGUUUAAGACAUAGCUUAGUAAUGAUAAUUCUAGUAUAUUAAAAGGGUAGUAUAGGGUUUUAGAUUGGUUCUGGUAAUUUUAGGAUAAAACGAGGGUACUAUAGGUAGUCUAUAAGUAAGAAACAAUGCUAGAAUCCUUUAGACCCUUCUAGAAGGGGACUUUAGUCUAAAAAUCAGUAGUUUAGUGUUGAUUGUUGUAGAAAUUCAGCUAUAUGCGAUAAAAAGAUGACCUGAAAUACAUUAGUUGAACAAGUAAAUCUUCAAUAUCUGUCCUGGGUUCAAUUUGAGUUGGUUAGGUCAUUGUUCCAGCCAUUUUGAGUUAGAGUGCUGAUUGUAUAUGGUGUUAAAACCCUCCUGGGUUCCUGUUUAGCUGUUUGAGGUUCAUUUGAGAUAUUGGAGUGGCUUUUACUGUUUGACUUUGGGUUUAAAACUUUCCUUGGUGUUUGGUAGCAUUUCUAGGAUCAUUAACUACUCAAAAGCUGUGGAUUCCUGUGAAUAUUAUGUUGUUUGAGUGUUGCUAACUCUCAGUUUUGUUCUGCACAAAUUCCAGGUACAUUUUCAAUCUCCAAUGAUGUGUGAAGUUUGAACCUAAUGAAUACAAGUUGAAGAUGUCCAUUAUUUGUUCUUCAUCAGUUUUAGUACUAUUAUAUUUAUCAUAGUUAAGACAAUAUCGUGUAAAAUCGGACAUUUUAACUGAUUUGCCUUGUAAAUGAUUAUAGGACUGUUUUUGGACUGUUAACAAUUGUUUUGUUUUGAUUCCAUGAAUAAAUACUGAUAUUAGCAUAAUCCUAUUAAGGCUUAGAGUAGUUACUUCUUCUUUGGCAUCUCGACUGGGGAGCACCUUCCCUUUCCUUUGACCAACGGGUCCUCAAAACCUUUAUGAUUUUGUGCCGAACCUGGUCUCCAUCUUCGAACUUCUCGUUUGAUGAGACCCCAGGUUUAGCUGCUAGUGUAAUGAAUCUGUAAUUCCAACAUACCUGGUAUGGUGACAUGAUUAGGCUAGUGGAUGCGAUUAUAUCAUGAUUAAAUCCAGGGUAGAUGAAUGUUUAUAAUGGGUCUAUUUAGCAUUAUUCCUGUGAAUCAUUAAGCAUAAAAUUGUUGAUCAUAUGUGAACCUGAAGGUCGGUUCUAAUUUUGCCUUUACUUGGUAUUAUUUCUCACUUACAUGAUUUAAUAUAAAAAUCUGGAAAUUGUUUGCAUGUUUAGUGGACAUUUCUAGCUUGGUUCACCAUGUAUCUCCAUUUUGGGCUCACAUUGAGGCCCAAAUAUGAUAAUCCUUGCUCGCCAGCUUCAGUUGAAAGCAUGAUUGGGCGAAUGUGGAAUUUCAAAUUAGAUAAUACGUUGAAAUAAAGGGAAUUUGAUUCUCACAUCAGUUAGCCAAGCCUUUGUAGAGAUACAUUUUAUAGAAAAGUAGUAGCUUGUUUUAGGAAUGACAUUUAAAAAUAAAAACGAGGUGUGCUGUGCCAAACGGAACCCAUGAGUUGCGUGGCCAUCGUGAAUUGUUUAUACUAAAAUACUUAGAGAUUGGGAACAUGCCGUUUAGCGAAUUUCAAGGCUGCCCGCAAAGACAAUAACACGUUAGUCGCUUUUAGGCGCGUCUUUAAUAAAUUUAUCUCCUUAAGUAUGGGUGCGUAUUUAUGUGACCCAAAUUCAAAUCUUAAUGGAGUUGAAAUAUGUCAAAAACUACGUGUGCAUUUAUGUGACGUGGUUUGCGACAUGUUUUAAUGCCAUUGCAAAUUUCCUUAAAAAUAUUAAAAGCAGUAUAAAAUAAUUUAAAAUUGCACUCUAGGAUGAACAUGUGUAGAAAAUCAGAAUUUUAGCCAGUUAUAAUAGUUUAAGCGACUGUGCUAGAACCAUGGGAUUCGAGGGUGCCUAACACCUUCCCUCGGGUCCAUAGAAUUCCAUACUUAGAAUUUCUGAUUCACACACUCCAAUUGGGCAGUCAAAAGAUUUCCUCGAUUUGGGAUUUUAAAUAAACUGGUGACUUGGGAUACCAAAAGCCAAACCUAUCCCAAGUGGCGACUUUAAAAAAAUAAAUCCCAUCUCGAAUAAUGUCACUUUAAUUGGAAAAACUCCCUUAUACGUUUUAUUCUUCGGGGUAGCCGUGUAAAAAGGAGGUGUGACACACCCCUGCAACGGUAUUAUACGUGUACUUCUUCUUCUUAUUUCCUUAUCUUUGCUGGUAAUUGAUUUGUGGCAUUCCUUACAUUGCUCUACGGUUGUUCUGUUGUUAUCUGUUACUCCCCGCAGCAUGUUUUCCCCGCCCAACUUUAAUUGUAAUUAUCUGCUUCUGUUUCUGCUGUAUAUGAUUGAACUAUACAUAUUUAUUUGGUAGUCUGGUCCUACCAUCGUCACUACUUUGUCGAGGUUAGUCUAGGCGCUUACAACACAUGGGGUCGAUUUUGCCGAUACUACACUCUGAACUCUUUUGUGUAGAUCCCAGUACUGUAGACUUCAGACCGCAGUGAGUUUGAUAUUUCUUGUUCAUUAGGCGAUACGAGGUAGUCCUGUAGGCGUCCGCAAGACUUGGUGUCUCCUUCUAUCAACUAUUCCUAUUUCUUUCAUGUAUUUCCAGAGAUAGUGUUAUAUUUAUUUCUUUCAGACCUUUAUUUGUGGUAUUGUUAGACAGUUUGUGAAUUUGUGACACCAAUCUUAGGUAGAUUUGUUAUAGAUUGAGCAGUAUAAUUAAAACUUUACAAUGCACUCUUCCGCUUAUUCAAUUUUGUUGUUAUCUAAUUGUUGGCUCUUAACUGUUAUCAGAUUAAAAAUGGAAACAAUGUAAAUAAUUUAGUUGGUUGGCUUGCGUAGCUUUCACUAGUAGACACCAUCAUGACUCCCGAAGGUAGGAAAUCCGGAUCGUGACAAUAUAUUUGGUGUCUCGAACAAAUAAGUUUUUGGACUCGGGUAUGACGAUUUGUGGGUGUUUCACGUCUCAAGAGGUAGGUAUGAGGUUAUGAUUGAUUAAUAUAAGAAAGAAUUACAUCCUAUGUCACUUGGCCUAAUAGCCCAACCGAAAAUGGCCCACAUUUGAAGCUCUUACCCUAUAUAGCCCAUGUUAUACAUAACUUGAAAGAAACUUUUCAGCCUUUAGCCCACUAUUAAAGACAUACUUUUAGGGUUUUUAAUAUUUUCCUCUUUCUUCAUUCCAUUCUCUCUCUCACACCGCCUCUCACUUCUUUCUCUCUAACCCACAUAGAUUCCUCAUCCUCUGCCCAAUCAAAGGCCGCCACAAUCAUCAUUCUACACAUAAAAAAAUAAUUCCCGUGGAAGGAGUUAUAUCUCAUCGCCUCUCACUUUUUUCUCUCUAACCCACAUAGAUCCCUCAUCUCUCUUAACCUAGCCCCCGCUAUUCCCCCUCCUUUAUCCCCCACGCAGUUCUGCCAUUAAUGGCUCGAAGAAGGCUCGAAGAAAGACUCUGUAGUCCAUGGCGGCAAGCAGAAGAACAAAGAAGAUUUUUGAAAGAAACAUGAAAAUACACACAUAUCUGAAAAUAAAUAGCUCUCAAACUUGAUUUGCACCAAUAAACAACCACUAAUUUUGGAGGAUUUUGAAGUUUGAAGUUCUGGAAAAUCAUAACUAUGUAACAUGUUAUAUCGAUACUGUAUAAUAGUGUAUAAUUGUGUAUAUGGUUAUACAGACACCUCUUAUACACUAUUAUACAUGUUUAUACAAGUUAUACCGUAUUGUAUAAUUAUGUAUAGAUGUGUAUAUUUGUGUAAUGUUGUAUAAAUAUAUAUAUUUUUUCAGUUUAUAAGGAUGUAUAUACAUUGUUAGCGUGUAAGAGGUCUCUAAAGAAGUUUGACACUUCCUUCUCUUCUUCUUUUUUGUGUAUGUGCUAUAUGAAACAGAUUUGUACACGUCGGAGGAAUUCUACAAUUCAUUUAUCAAAUUUUUAUUUUUCUUUUAUCAUGUUAGAUUGCUUCAGCAAUUGCACAUAAAGGUGUUUGAAUUUCUUACCUUCAGAUAAUAUGCAUUAUUUAGGAUAGAAUUUUUGAGUUGCGUUGUGGCUUAUUUGCAUUUUUUUUAUCAAAUGCUUAAUAAUCAAAGGAAAUCUAGAGAAUGAAAAUAACUGGUUGUAUAAAGAGGGAACAAUAACAGUAGUUGAUUGUGUAAAAUAAGCUAUUUUUUCGAAAAUUAGCCGAUUAUUUUUGAGCUAUAGAUUUGCAAUGUAAUAUCUAAGCUAUUAUGUUACAAGUUAGGUAUUUGAAUUAUAUUUAUGUGAAAUUAUCCCUUAAUAUAAAGGUCUUUGGAUUGCAAUCUCCAUAAAUGGUAUUCUUGUAUAUUUCAAAUAGUUCAACAUUAUUAAAUAUGAGACUAUAGAUAUAGAAGUACAUUGAGUCAAUAUAGAGCUCAUGCUUGAUUAAAAUAUAUGUAUAUACUGAUCGUGAUUGCUUCAGCUUUUUAUGUGAUUUCUAAGAAUACUUCCCCUUCCACAUAAUAUUAAAAAAGAAUUACAAAUAUACACAAUUUUACAUCAUAACAAAAAAUAAUUUGUGGUUUUAAAUUUUAUUUGAUCUAGUUCGUAUUGUUCAUAUUUUAAAAGUAUUAACAAAUUUAAGAUCUUUAUUCUUACAAUCAUUAUUUUAAAAACUAUGAAGGUAAAUCCGUAUCUCACAUUUUUACUCUCUCUUCUUCUUACUUCGUUCACAUAUGAUUCAAGGGGUCAAACAUUUUCUGCUUCUCCCCUUAUGUCACCUAGUUACAAUAUAAAAAAAUUAAGAGUAGAAAUCCACCAUUGAAGGCCAUUCUCUGUUUUCAAAAAUAGAAUUUUUUGAGUUUGUUAGUUGUUUGGAUUAAGUGUUGUUCCAAUUGAUUGAAAAUAUCAAAAAGAGUUUAAAAUUUAAAUUUGAAGCGGUUUGGAGUAGAUUUGAGCAAGAUUUGAAUUAAAUUUCCAAAAAAAAACGCAACAAUAAGACGAAGCCAGUUUUUUGUAUAAUGAUGCAUAGUCUUGUAUAAUACUGUAUAUGAGUGUACGCAUCUUAUUCAUUAUUAUACACUUUUAUGCAUCUUUAUACAAGCGCCCAACUUCUUUCACCAUUUUCAAUUGCAAUUCUUGUUCAAAACCAAUCUAAAUCUCCAUUAAAUGACUUCAAAUUUUGUAUACAGCCUUUUUAUACUAUUUCUAACAAGUUUAAAUAAUAUUCACUUUAAAUUUCUCAUAAAAUUAAAUUUAAGUUUGUUAAAAAUCUAAUUUUUACUAUCUAAAUGAGUUUGGUUUCUUGAACUGCUAAUUGAGUCACAAUCAUUGAUUAGAAAAUUAAUUUAAAAGUUUGAGCAAUUUUUGUAAAAAUUAAAUAGUAAUUAGUAAUUUUGAGAAUUUAUUGAAGUUUAAUUUUAUCCUAUUAUUUUUGGUUAGUUGAUUGUAAUUGAAAUAUGAUAUAUAAAUUUGAAAAGCAGGGAAGAAGUUGUGUUUUAUGUGAAAUUUCCCCUAAUAUUAAUGGCGAUUAAGGGUCAUUCUACUCUUCUGUUUUCAUUGCUGCUGCUUUUUAUCUUAAUAAGUUUGAAUAACACAAAUGGAAAUUGCGAGCAGGAGUACCAUUUCAAUAUUGAAGAAGCUACAAUCAAAGAUAUACAAUUAGCGUUUGCCCAAAACAAGCUCACAUCAAGACAACUCGUUGACUUGUAUUUGCAUAAAAUAGAAACCCUUAAUCCUGUUCUUCGUGGAGUUAUCGAAGUGAAUCCGGACGUGCGACAACAAGCGGAUGAAGCUGAUAAACAAAGGCAGAUAAUUAAGAAGAAACUGAGCAGUUUAUACGGUAUUCCUGUUCUGGUCAAAGAUAGCAUAGCAACAAAGGAUAAGCUGAAUACUAGUGCAGGGUCUUACGCGUUGCUUGGUUCGGAGGUGCGUAGAGAUGCUACAGUUGUGGAGAGGCUAAGGAAUGAUGGUGCUUUGAUUUUAGGAAAGGCUAGUAUGAGUGAAUGGUACCAUUUUCGAUCUUUCGGUAUUCCUGAUGGAUGGUCUGCUAGAUGUGGCCAAGGUGUGGUGAGUUCUCACAGCAUACUUGCUUUUCCUUCCACAUAUUGUCAUCUCCUCGCAUACUUUCCUUUUCAAUCUGUCCUUAAAAUAAUGUCAUAGUUCCUUAUUUAGAAAUAAUGUAACUUUGGCUUGACUUAUAAACACCGCCACAUAAAUUUGAGAGUAGAAAUAGUAUUACUUUCUUUCUCUCUUCUUUCAAAAGGAGGACUACUGGAGGUAGGUUCCAAUCAAGGAAAAUAAAGAGGUAAUACUGGAGUACGUAGUUUGUUUAUACUCGUCGAUUAGUUUGUAAAAGCUCCUUGAUUAAAAUUUAUUGACUCAACCUAUGGCUUGAAGAAUGUCUGUUAUGACAGAUCAGUCAUUCAAUUACCUUCAAUUCCAAAUUAGGUUGGGGUCGGCUAUAUGUUAGUCGUACUUCCUGCUACAAUUUAUUGUUUGUUUGAAGAAAUACUCUCAGAAAUUUUACUGUUGUGGUCCGUCCUUGUGGAAAAUGCAGAACCCCUAUGUGGAAGGAGGAAGUCCAUGUGGUUCAAGCAGCGGAUCUGCAAUAUCCGUAGCUGCUAACAUGGUGGCUGUGUCACUAGGAACUGAGACUGAUGGUUCAAUUAUCUGUCCUGCUGAAUACAAUGCUGUUGUAGGCCUCAAACCCACCGUUGGACUCACUAGCCGUGCUGGUGUCAUUCCCCUCUCUCCUCGACAAGACACAAUUGGGUAAUUUCUGUAUGCUAUUGUCAAAUUAGAAUUGCUUCAUUCCAUCAACGACCAACUAAGCGUCAACCCGUGACUAGUUGGAGCAAUUAUAUGAAUCUGUUACGAUCCUAAACCCGAAUCCGGUCGUGAUGGCACCUCUCGUGAAGACAAGGCGAGCCAAUUAACCCAAUUCUCUUUUUAAAAUAGUUAAACAACACAAAACAAUCUAAAACAUGAUUUCAUAGUAUCAAGUAACAGAUAAUAUUAAUAAAAUGCGGAAUAAUAACCCAACACAGCCCUAACCGGGGUGUCAAAGUCAUGAGCAUCUAACUAUACCAAAUCCUCAAAAGCAACUACAGAGUUUUAAAUACUGAACUAAGAACAUAAAAGAAGUAGAUAGAGAGGAGCUCCAGGCUGCGAACGCCAACAACUACCUAAAGACUCCUCGAAGAUUCGCCUGAAGCGGGGAAGAAUCAGCACUCGGGAGAGGGACCAGCUAUGCCUGAAUCUGUUCACAUGGUGCAGGGAGUAAAGUGAGUACUCCAACUCAGUGAGUAACAAGUGUAAAUAACAACUGAAAGUAAGAAUAUACAGAAGUCACAAGGCAUUUUAUAAUGAAGCAGUAAAAUUAUUUAAAAAGUAGUAAACCAGUGAUAAGCCAGUAAAAUCCUUUCUAAAAAAUAAACAGGUAAUUAAUAGACAAUUAAGGGAAGGUAAACAAAUAGAAGUUCGCUCCUCAGGCACAGUUUCAAUAAAUCCACCCCUCGGGCAACAACUUAGAACAUUUCCAGCCCCUCGGGCUCAAUCUCACAUCAUAAUGGGUACCCGCGCUUACUGGGGGUUUAUAGACUCCUGAAGGGGACCCUUACGAUCCAAGCGCCAUAAUAAGCCAUCUCGUGGCAUCACAACUAGGCCUUUGGCCUCAUAUCAAUCAAGCCACCUCGUGGCGUACAUAUCUCAGGCCCUUGACCUCCAAUCAGUAUCAGUGCCUCCUCACAAUAUAGGCCCUCGGACUUUACUCAGUCAAAAUCAUCAAAAGCCCCUCAGGCAAUAGUAAACCAGUAUUUUCUCAGCCCAACAUCGUUUAAAAUAUUAUUUAAGUCCCAAAACUGAGUAACAAUGGCUAAGUAGUAAAUCACUGGAAAAUAACAUGAUUGAGUUCAAGUAAUAAGUCAAAACAGUGAGGAAAUAUCAAUGAAGAGCCCCGAAGGGUUCAAAUAGUUGGCACUAGACCCAAAUAUGGCAUUCAGCCCAAAUAAUGAUGAUAGCAAAAUAUUUUUUAACCAAAUACGCGGUAAAAUCAUCAAUCAGGACGGACCAAGUCACAAUACCCAAUAGUGUACGACUUCACGCUCGUCAUCAAGCGUGUGCCUCACCUCAACAUAGCACUACGAUGUGCAAUCCGGGGUUUCAAACCCUCAAAACAUCAUUUACAAUCAUUACUAACCUCGAAUCGACUAAUUCUCUAGUUCGCGACGCCUUUGCUCCUCGAAUUGGCGGCCACGCGCGUCGAAUCUAUCCAAAAUCAGAACGAGGGCAUCAAAAUAUGCUAAGGGAACAAAGAUCAAGCAAAAACAAUCAAUCAAUGUUAAAAAUAGCGUGAAGCGAGGAAAAGCGACAACCCCCAUUUCACGAAAAGUGAGAAGCGAGAAGCGAAGCGCCCACUUUUUUGAAGUGAAGCGGAAUUUUUUUUAAAAAAAAUUAAAUAAAUACGACAUAGACAACACAUGUAAUUGUAAGCAAAUGUUCAAUACUUGAAUUAACAAACUAAAGAGUAGCAUUAAUUAAAGCACAAAAUAAGCAUCAUAUUCUUCUACAAAUUGUCAAUAGUAGCAUAAAUUAAAGCACGAAAUGAGCAUCCUAUUCUUCUACAAGAUUGUCAAAUUCUUGUAUUCCACUAAAUCCAUAGGACCUUUGGUCUUACCAGUAGAUCCACACCUAGAAGACAUUGGCGAAAGCAUCCUUCCCCGCUUUUGUGAUUUUGAUGGAAGCGACGAAGCAUCGCCACUUUCUUCUGUUUUAUCAUCAUCGUCAUCAAGAUUAUAAAGUUCUUGUUCAUGAAUCAUUUGACUUUGAGUCUUUUAACACUUCAUCUUCUUCAUCAACUAGGGACAAAAUAGCUGCCUGUUUUCCCUUCCUCUGUGAACUUGAAGUUGAGAUACUCCCCCUCAAUUCAUAAAUCUUCUCCCCAAUUCCAUGCGCCUCAGCAACAUCACCCCAAGUGAUAUCAGAAGUAUCAUCAAAUACUUCUUCAUCUACAUGAUCUUUGGGGACUCCAGUUAGCCAUUCAUUAGCAUCAUCAAUGUUGUCCGAACUAAAUUGCGAGCGUUGUAACGACGCCUCAAUGAUUAUUGUGCUUAAUGAAGACUAGAUCAUUGAGACGCUUCAAAGUUAGUUUGUUCCUCUUUUUAGUAUGAAUCUGCAAAUAAUAAGUAAUUAGUUAGAUUAGAACAAUUGAGAUAUAAUUUAAUUAUCUCAAUAUACUAAAUCUUUCUUCUUAGUUCUUACAUGCUCAAACAUGCUCCAAUUCCUUUCACACUCGGAUGAACUACAUGUUAGACUUAGAACCUUGAUGACAAACUUUUGUAAAUCUGGAGUGGAAUGACCAUAUUGCUUCCACCAUUCAACUGUAGAAGUAAAACAAAAUUUUCAAAACAUAAUAUUAAUUUAUAAGUAAAUAACUUAUUAACUAUGAAACAACAUAUAAGUCCUUGCUCACCUGGUGACUUCGUCGUUCUCUGUCUAAUGGCGAUGUUAUUUCCAAAAAGUUGUUCUAAGCACUCGCUCACCUGUUGACUUCGUCGUUCUUUGUCUAAUGGCCAUGUUAUUUCCAAAAUGUUGUUCAGCAUUCCUAUAAAUACUAAAUUGCUCUGUGAUUUUAUCUUGCAUGGAUUCUUCAGGUAUCAACUUCUCAAUGCAUUCAUAUUAUCCAUUCCACAAAGGUUCAUCUCUUAAAAUCCUCUCUUCAUUGUCAUAAAACAGUUCCGGGUUCAAAACAAGUCCAACUGCAUGCAAAGGGCUAUGAAGCUUACUAUCCCGCCUUUUAUCUAUGAUCUCAAAAACUCUUUUUGUAUUUUUUUAUCACUGCCAUUCCACAAAGGUUCAUCUCCUAGAAUCCUCUCUUCACUAGCAUAAAACAGUUCCGGAUUCAAAACAAGUCCAGCUAUAUGCAAAAGGCUAUGAAGCUUACUAUCCCACCUUUUAUCUAUGAUCUCAAUGACUCUUUUGUAUUUUGUGUGAUCACUAAAAGAGGCUUGAAUAGCCUCCUUUGCCCUAUCAAUUGCUUCGUACAAGUAGCCCAUUGGUGGCCUUUGCUCCCCAUCCACCAAAUGAAGCACUUUAACUAAAGGACCACCAAUCUUCAAUGCAUGAACCACAUUGUUCCAGAAUAAGGAGAAAGUAUAAUAUUUGCAGAUUCUCUUUUCUCUUCCAUUGUUUCUUUAUAAAAAAAAAUAGAUGGUAAAAGUGUCUAUAUUCUAUUUUGUGUGGUGGAUUCUUUUUUAAUAAUAGUUUGUUGGAUUAUCACUUUGUGUAUUUAUUCAAUUGAGCAUAAAAUGCAGCCUCGAAAUUGUCACCAGAAUCUUGUUUCCCAUUUUCUAUUGCAGACCUUCCGAAACCUCGUUAUGCUCGUGUAAAUACUCUGAAGAUGAUUUGAACAAUAUAGGAAUGCACUCUAAUUGCCUGAUUAAAGAUAGUAGUGAAGGGUCUUUCCUUGAAAAUAUCACCAAAGAUCAAAUUAACAGAAUGUGCUGCACACGGAGUCCAAUAGAUAUGCCGGUAGCAAGCAGACAUCAUUUCACCAGCUUUAACAUUUUCACUGGCAUUGUCCGUGACAACUUUAACAACAUUGUCUGCUCUAAUAGAGUCAAUUGUACUCUUGAAUAAAGAGAACAGUUUGGUUGAAUCAGUCGAAGAGUCGCUUGCAUCAACAGACUCAAGAAACCGGCUUCCCUUAGGAGAAUUCACCAAGAUAUUGAUGAUCAUUUUCCAUUUCUCGCUGUCCACUUACCAUGACAACUUGAACAACAUUUUCUCCAAUAGAGUCUAUUGUACUCUUGAACAAGCAGAACAUUUUGGUUGAAUCAGUCAAAAAGUCGCUUGCAUCAACAGACUCAAGAAACAGGUUUCCCUUAAGAGAAUUCACCAAGAUAUUGAUGAUUAUUUUUCCAUUUCUUACUGUCCACUUAUCCAUCAUUAUGGAACAACCAAACUUGUUCCAUUCUACUUCGUGCUCCACCACGAUUUUCUUCACCUCUUCCACCUCACUUUUUAGAUAUGGUCCACUAACUUUAUAUAAGUUGGAGGCUUUAUUCCUGGACUAUAUUGGCCUACGACCUCAAUAAAGGCAACAAAAGUGUCAGUAUAAUUAACACAAUUAAAAGGAAGACCUACAUCAUACAUCCACCGGGCAAAGCAGGUAACUGCACGGUCCCUUAAAAUCGCUUUUGCAUCAACUUGAGGAUUACCACUUUUUCCUCCCUUAUCUACAGAUUUUUGCGGGAAGUAACAAUCCAUAGGACCUUUGGUCUUACCAGUAGAUCCACACCUAGAAGACAUUGGCGAAAGCAUCCUUCCCCGCUUUUGUGAUUUUGAUGGAAGCGACGAAGCAUCGCCACUUUCUUCUGUUUUAUCAUCAUCGUCAUCAAGAUUAUAAAGUUCUUGUUCAUGAAUCAUUUGACUUUGAGUCUUUUAACUCUUUUCUUUUUUUGAAGGUAUGCUUUCAAUUCUUCCUUCACGUGCCCCGGAAAUUUAGGACAAGAUGCAGCAUUUGGAUCACCAUCGAUUAGAUGCACUUUUUGACGAUAGAUUCCUCAAUUUGUAAUCUUAUCACAAAAAAGACAGCUAAUGGCUAUCUUGUUGGUCUCGUUAACUCUUUUAGAGUAAGCCCAAACCGGGUCUUUCCUAUCUUCUUUUAGCGCCAUUUAAAUAUCAACUACAUAACACAUAAGAAAGGCAAUAAGAACUAAGAAUAAAAAAUAUGUAAUUUGGCAGAAUUUGGGCAGAAAUUUUCUGAAAAAAAUUCGCUAGCAUUUCUGUGCUUUUUGGACGUUUAGAAAGAAAAAGGAAAAGAAAAAGAAGAAGAAGAAUGAAAAUAAAAACAUACAUGUUGAAACUUGAAAGCUGUUGUUGACUUGUUGUAAUGUUGAAGAAGCAGAAGAACCCUAGUUUGUUUGAACAAAUCGUUGCUUCAUGUGAGGAAGAAAUCGUUGGUUCUUUGAGGAAGAAAGGGUUGGUUUAAAACCCUAGGUUGCUGCUGAAGAAUGACUAAAACAGAGACUUACUCGAUUUUGGGUCUUUUAAUUGAAAAAGACACGUUUAGGCUUUUCAGGUAGAAGAGACCGCUUUUAGGUACCUAAGUCGCUUUUGGUACAGGUAGCGACAGACUCGGCCCUCUGCUUCGCUUCUCGCUUAAAGCGAGGAAGCGGUUGCUUUUUUGAACACUGCAAUCAAUAAAGGGCACAAAUUUCGAAAUUACCAAAACCCGACCUCCGAGCCCACGUCUCGAAAUUCAAAUUUUUUUACACCAACAGAUUCUUUAUCUCCCCACGAGUUCAUACAUACCAUGAACAUCAAAAUCCAUCCACAAAUGAACCUUCAAAUCCCAAAUGUUGGUCUCCAAUUCAAGUCCUAGCUCUUAAAUUUUUAGGCUUAGAUUUCAUGAUUUUCUAGGUGGAAUUCACAUAAUAAUCGAGUUUUAAAUCCGAAAAUCUUACCUUUCAACGAUUCCCCUUGAAUCCCUCUUCAAUCUCCUUCGAAAACCUACCAAAGUGGCCGACUAUGGAGGAAACGAACCCCAAUCGCGGACAAGACGAAUAAAAAACAUUCUGCCUAGGCCUGCUUUUCCUUCUUCGUGAACGCGGUCAAACCCUCGCGUUCGCGAAGCUCAAACUUACUUUGACCAGUUUUUCCUCUAUGCGAACGCUACAUCACCAUCGCGAACGCAAUGCUUUCCUCAACCUUACCUUCGCAAACGCGAUCACUCUUCCGCGAAUGCGAUGAACACUUGACCCCAAACCAAUUGAUCCAAAAGACCCUACGCGAACGCGACUUACCUCAAAUCACAAACCUUCACGAAUGCGGCCUAGCCUCUCGCGAACGUGAAGCUUGCAAAUCCCGGCCCUUCGCGAACGCGUGACUCUCCUUCGCGAACGCGAAGGCCAAACCUGAUGCCUCCCUUCCUGACCCCUUCGCGAACGCGAAGAUCAAAAUGUCUGCAACUGUUGGAACUCAAAAUCUGCAACUUCCUUAAUUCAAAAAUACUUAGAUUGACCAUCUGAAACUCUCACGAGGUCCCCGGGACCUCAAUCAAUGGCACCAACACAUCGUCAAACUUUAUUCAAACUUGUUCCAAUCAUCGAAACACCUCAUACAACAUCAAGUCACCCAUAAGACCUCGGAAGCCUAAGUUUUCUAAAACCUUCCGAAAUACGCUUUUCAUAAAAAACCCAACCAAACCACGUCCGAAUGACCUGGAAUUUUUCAGACACAUCCCAAAUGACAUAACAAAGCUACCGUAACUCUUGGAAUUCCAUUCCGACCCCUAGAUCAAAAACUCGCCUAACAACCGGAAAUCGCCAAAAUAUCAACUUCGCCAAUUCAAGCCUAAAACUACUCCACACCUCCUAAACUCAUUUCGAUCAUGCUCCUAAGUCAUAAAUCACCUCCCGAAGCUAACCUAACCAUUGGAACUCACAUCCUAGCCCUCUAACACAUAAGUCAACAUCGGUUGACUUUUCCAACUUAAACUUCCUUAAAAGAGACUAUGUGUCUCAAAUCUUACCAAAAUCAUUCCGGACUCGAUCCGACAAACCCGAUACCACAAAACACGGAUAACGAAGCAUAAAGAAGCAGAAAUGGGGGAAACGGAGCGGUAACUCAUGAGACGACUGGCCGGGUCGUCACAAAAUCCUCAUUUGUAUCCAUUUUCAAUCAAUCUACUAAAUUAAUUUACAACUUAGAUGUUUUCAAAAAUUAGAUCUUUCCUAAAUCUUACACUUAUUCUAGCUGACAAUUAUUCUGAAGAAAUACUGGAUCUAAUGUGUAAGUGUAAUAACAAUAAUAAAGCCUUAAUCCUAUUGUAUCAUUUCUUCCAUUUCGUUCACUGUUGAGCUAUACUCUAUCUUGAAUUUGAGAGAUUGUAUAAUCUCUAUUAAAAAAAAAAAUUCUUUAUGUGAUUCAAGGCUUACCUUUGUGUUGGGUGUGUGUGAACAAUGUCCCACGUGGAAAGUAGAAAUUCAAAAUGAACCUACUUAUAAGGAGUUAGAUACUCUUAAUUGUGUGAGACAUUUUGGGGAAAACCAUGCGGCCUUGGCCCAAAACGGAUAAUAUCACACCAUAUUAAGAGCAUCUUUGAGCCGUUUUAGCCCAACAACCUCCUGUCUGCUUUUAGCACCUUCAGCUAUUGUGUGGUGUUGUGCACUUGCGCCUAAAACUACUACAUUUGAAAGACUAUGUAGGAUAUGUCCAACUGCUUAACUAGUUUAUCUAAACAUCGUAUAGGCUGCAUAGGCAAAAGGAUUAUAAUAUAUUGCUGAUGAUCAAAUUUGCAGGACUAUAUGCAGAACGGUUUCAGAUGCUGUAUAUGUUCUUGAUUCUAUUGUUGGCUUCGAUAUAAGAGACCUUGAAGCAACAAGGGCAGCAGCAAAGUUCAUUCCAGCCGGUGGCUAUAAACAAUUUCUUAAUGAAGAUGGCCUUAAGGGAAAGAAAUUGGGUGUGGUAAGACAUCCUUUUCUGGCCCUUUCUGAUGUGUAUCAAGCUGAUGCAGUAUUGACUGAUCAUUUGAAGACACUAAGGUAAAAGUAUGAGCAUUAUAGUUUAUUGAGUUCAACAUUUCAUCAUUUUUUCCCCUUUCGGCGCAAGAUUUAUACUCUUAGUAACACAUUUAACCUUUUCUUUCUUUUCAGGCAAAGAGGUGCAGUUGUAUUAGAUAAUCUUGAAAUACCAAAUAUUGAUGUGGUUUUAGACCCCAAUCAAAGUGGUGCGGAAGUUGCAUUACUAGCAGAGUUCAAGCUCUCACUCAACAGUUAUCUAGCAAAGCUAGUCACAUCCCCGGUUAGAUCACUCGCGGAGAUAAUAGCCUUCAACCAGAAUAACCCAGAAUUGGUAUGUCCUUUCUCUAAUCCUGUGCUUUUGACAUGUUUACUGUCAUUUAGUUAUAGAAGUUUUCUUUUUACAAGCUAUAUCUCUUUCACUAAAACUAUGGAUUUACUGUUGAGUUGUGCACAUCGGUGGGAUUUGAGGUCCUUGGUCUCCUUAUAUGAUCUUGGGUAAUCCUCAAGUCAUAAGCUAGCUUUUGGGGUUGAGUUAGACCCAAGGUCCAUUAUAGGUCCAUUUAUCAUGGUAUUAGAGCUAGGCCAUCCCAAUUAUUAUUAUCGAUGUUUAGGCCCCCAUUUAUGUUGUACACGUUCCAGUGCAGGCCUGGGUGUGAGAGAGGUGUUAAGUUGUCCCACAUCGGUGAGAUUUGAUAUUCUUGGUAUCGGCUGACUAUAACAAAUUAUUAUCCUUUUUUUAAAGUUACCAUAUUAGAUAUCUACUAUGAAGCUAUGUUGCGCGGACUCUCCAAAAUGACACUACACCCGUGCCGGAUCCUCCAAAAAUUCGGAGAGUCCGAGCAACAUAGCUACGAAGAGUUUGCAUAGAAUUUGAACUCAAUAAAUUAUUUGGUUGUUGCAAAUAUAAAUACAGGAAAGAAGUCAAAGCUUUGGUCAAGAAAUUUUCAUAGCAGCAGAAGCAACAAAAGGGAUCGGAGAGAGAGAGAGGAAGGCGAUGGCGAUGAUGGAGAAACUUUCAGAAGAUGGAUUUGAGAAACUGAUGAUAGAAAAUGAACUGGAUGCGUUAGUGACUUUAGGUUCAGGUGUUUCCACAGUGUUGGCUAUUGGAGGAUAUCCAGCAAUAAUAGUUCCUGCUGGUUAUAAUAGUACUAAUGGUAUGCCGUUUGGUAUAUGUUUUGGAGGGGUGAAAGGAAGUGAACCGAAGCUGAUUGAGAUUGCUUUUGCCUUUGAACAAGCCACCAUGAUCCGCAGACCUCCUUUUUCCAACUCAAUUCCUUCAUUUUAAAGUAGAUAAUUUGUUUUCCUUUUUCUCAGCAUAGUCACUGAAGUUUGUUUUUUUCCAACCAGUAGUUCGAAGAUCAUUUUCCUGUUUGGGAACUUUCGUAAGUGUAGGGAGUUGGAAACUUUUAGCACAUUGGCUCUAUGAUGGUCAAUUGGAAUGAUACAGCAUUUGACGCAAAUAUCUUCGAGUUACAUUGACCAAACAUAACUGGAAAUGCUGAUUAUUUUUUCCUGACAUCUCUAUUGGUCUUAUUCGAAAUCACAGCGUAUCCUUUUGAUGAAUGAUCAAAAGGACAUAUCCAAUGUUUGAAGAAAAUUAUUUCCAUUUUGCCUUCUCUAAAUUAUUAUGCCAGACAACAAGCUAACAAAUAAUAAGCCAGUGUGGAAUCCCAAAAUGGAAUCAUUGCAGAUGCCUUUAAGCAUGCAGAUGGAUGUUUGCUGUCGGCCCCAAUCCUUCAGUUUCCGGAUUGGAAUAAGGAGUUCCAUGUUCAUACUUACGCAUCACGCUAUGCUAUUGGUGCAAGAAAGGCCGCUUGAUCACUCCAUCUACUUUUGAAAUAUAGGAUCACUAGAUGAACCAUUGAUCCCUGAGCCCGCUUAUCAUACUUGACCUUGAAAUAGGGGAUUGGUUGAUGGGAAGGCUCACGAGGAAUGUGGCGUCAAAGAAUUCAAGCUUAUUCCUUUCACACUAUCGUUUAGUCCAUAAACACAUACAGUCUUAUUUCCAAUUAUGGAUUUCAUCCAUAAUUUGAUGCCAAGGUGAAAUUAUGUUCCUUUUUCAGAGAUGUUGAUGGGGAUAUUAAAAUAAAUCUAAAAUAACCAAUAAACGGCCGAAAUUGAGCAUUCAAACGCUAUUGUGAGUGAAAUUAUCUUCCGUUUUCAGAGAUGUUGGGCGUCGCCCAUUUUGUUCACCAAGUUUCCGAGACUGGGGAUAUAAAAUAAAUCUAAAAUAACCAAUAAACCACCGAAAUUGAGCAUUCAAACGCUAACGUGAUAUAACUCAAGGGCAAGUUACAUAAAGGGCUUCAAUGUUUGCUUACUCUAGGUUUUACAUAAGGCUACAAACAUAUAAACCGGGGGGGAGGGGGUNNNNNNNNNNNNNNNNNNNNNNNNNNNNNNNNNNNNNNNNNNNNNNNNNNNNNNNNNNNNNNNNNNNNNNNNNNNNNNNNNNNNNNNNNNNNNNNNNNNNNNNNNNNNNNNNNNNNNNNNNNNNNNNNNNNNNNNNNNNNNNNNNNNNNNNNNNNNNNNNNNNNNNNNNNNNNNNNNNNNNNNNNNNNNNNNNNNNNNNNNNNNNNNNNNNNNNNNNNNNNNNNNNNNNNNNNNNNNNNNNNNNNNNNNNNNNNNNNNNNNNNNNNNNNNNNNNNNNNNNNNNNNNNNNNNNNNNNNNNCGGGGGUGGGUGGGUGGUGGAGGGUGGUGCAAUAAUGUAAGAACUUACCAAAUGCCAAUAGUAUUUAGUUCAGAAACACACUGUUUUUAUAGAUAAUUAGUUCGGAAUGACGUUAUUUUGUUUCUAGCAAGAAAUCAUUGCCAGUAUAAUUAGGCUAAUAUAAUCCAAUCUUGAAGUUUAACGUGCGCUCUCAAAACUUCUCUUGUUCUUGUUAUUUAGGCAUCAUUUAUUCACACUUAACGGAAGUUUGAAUAUUUUAGAUUUCAAUUAUUAAGUGCAUUUAUUUUUUUUAGAUCUGAAUCUUAAUCAUUCAGAUCUUAAUUAUUAAGUCGAUUUCUUUUUUCAAAAUUUUACAAUCACAAUGAGUCUGAACUGAUUUUGAUAAUUAAGAUCUAUAACAGAGUUUUAAUAUCAUUAAAAUGUCAUACAUUAAAGAAUUUAUGUAAAAAUUAUAUUUCGCUAUUGCUCAUGCAUUUCCACCACUAAUCACCAUUACCACUGCUAUCGAUGUCCUCCACCAUUACAGACUACAUCCACCUACUACUCACAACCCAUUACCACCAUCCUCAGCCACAACCAUCACUCCUGCCAAGCAUGAAUGUCAUUUGUCACUACCACCGAUCAUUAUUUACAAUCAUCACCACCGAUCAUCAAUAUCACAACAAUCACCAUUAUCAACUACCACUGUAUACACCGACUACUGUUAUCACUCACUACCACUAUCAACCACCACCAUCAACUACUAUUGUCAUAGAUCACCAUCUGCUACCCAUAAUCACCACAAUAAACCAACACCAUCACCAACUAUUACCCAAUCGGCAUCUGCAAUCAUCACUAUUAGCCAUCAUCAUUACCAACUAUCAUAUAAUUUUAAAAAAAUAUUUUGUUAAUAUACUAUUAGAUAAAUUGGUACUAAUUGAUCUGAAUUUAUACUUACUAAUUUUUAAAUAAAGACAACUUUCACAUAUUCAGAAUAGAGAAAACAAAUAGUCUAAUUAUUCAGUAUUCAGAUCUUAAUAUUUAGAUGUGUAUACAGAUUCAUACAUCUUAAUCUUAACGUACAUAUUAAUUUUCAGAUGCUUAUUUAGAUUAAAAUAUUUUAAUCUUAAUAAAAACAAACGAGGCCUUAGUUUCUUUACCAGCGUAGGAGCUACUUGAAAGUGGAUGUUUUUACUUUUGCUUUGCUGAAAAUUAAGAUCAAUUGCAAAACAGAUCCUUGCAUUGUGCCUCUGGCUUAAACUAGUGAUUAUGUUGCUCAGCCACAGCGCACUACUUUAAAUUGAAUAUAUUAAUAAUAUUGUAUUGGUUGUGGCGACGUAGACCUCUAUUUUAAAAGGUAAAAUUGGGACUCUUCCGGGACGAGCAUUCGCAAAACGCUUUUGGACUUAUAUGUGAGAUUUAGUUUUAUGAGACUUACAUUUCGGUCAUCGAGACUUACGACCCGGACACGCCCAAUACUCAGUGUACUGGGCCCGCCUAAUAGAACUUUAUGCAAUUAUUUAUAACUAGCCUUAUAAAUCCUUAAAAUUUCUUAAUAAAUUGUUGACUAUUCAAAAUUAAUAUUUUUUCUUCAUCAUAAAUUAUUAAGUUGAGAGUAUUUUGUCACACCCCUUUUUUAUACAAACUCACUAAACCCUCUUAAAAAUAAUAAAAAGAUUUAGUAAAGCUUGAAAAAGAAUUUUCAAUUAGAAAGUGACAAAAUUGUGUGUCCAAAAGGAAAUACUCAGAGUCGCCACCUCACAUUUGAUUUCGGUGUGCCAUGUCACCAUUUUUUAAAAUAAUUUUUCCUUUUAACACAUUUCAGACUCUAAAACCAAACCCGCAUCAGAGAUUUGGGUAAGGAGGUUCAUUUGACUCGAGGAGAAGGUGUUAGGCACUCCCCAAGUCCCGUACAAGUCAUGGUUGCUCGAAUUAAGUUAGCUUUAAAAUAUUCAAUUAAGGUAAAAACAUCACAGAAAAGCAAAAUAAGUAAACACACAAGAGGUUCGAGGCCGUCCCUACCUAAUAAGAGAAAAUAAAAAGAAAAAGAAAAGAAAAGUCCUAAGCUAAUCUAUACUACGACUUCUCCACCAUGCUCGUCAAAGCCUCCAAAAUAUUUACAUAGUUCUUCGGAACAUACCCCGGAUAAUAAUAUUUACAAACAUCACGGGGCAUUCCCUGAAUAAAUUUAAUUAAGAGACAACCUCUCACCUCGAAAUUAACAAAAUCCUAAAGCUUGCCUACCCAAGUGUGGUCGGCCUAAGCAUGCUCCUAGUGAUCAAUGUAAACAAGAUAAUAUCAAACAAAGUUGUUCAUGGACUAAAUAUAUAUUUUUCAUUUAGUAUUACCCAAACCCAAUGGCCUAACACUUGCCUUAAUACUCAAACCACCAAUCAAUAUAUAAAUUAAUCUUUAAAAUGGUAAUACUAAAGAACCAGAAAUAUAUGAUUGACCUAAAACAUGCUCUUGAUAGUAAGUCCCUUUUGGUUACCGUAAUUGUUAUAACUAAUUAUUACACUAUUUGCCUCUCUCGAUUACAAAUAAGUAUAAAUUUAAUUAUAACAUAAAAGAGAUAGAUGUUAUUGAAUAAAUAUUAACAUUUAUCAAUAUUACAUUUAACUAUAUUAUAUCUUCUGCCUCUCUCGAUUGCAGAAUUAAUAAACAGUUAAUAUGUAGUACAAGAUAGAUAGAUGUUAAUAAAUUAAAUAACGCCUAAUUGUAAGAGCAGAUGAAAGUUAAAUAAGUUCUAGCUCAAGCAUGUGAAUUUGUAAAACAAUAUCUAAUAUUAUAUAGAAAUAUUAAGAUCUGUCUUUCUCCCAACACAAGAAAAGUUACUCCAUACUGGAGUUAGCACUAACAAUGGAAAUAUUCUUGUCCAUUAAAUAAGAAAAUACAAAUAAAUAUUCAAGAAGAAUAAUUCUCCCUAUUUAAUUAAAAGCAGGAACUAGAGUAAUUUCCUACACUGAAAUUUAUUUAGAAACAACAACUUAACUACUAUUGUGAUUUAAAAAAAAAAGAAGAUAAGUCGAUAAUAGUGAAAGAAAUAAAAUAGAGAAGCUUAUUAAGAAUUUGGAUUUAGACUUCUAACUCUAAGCUUUCUCUCCGCUUUGAUGCCUUCCUCUGAUCGGGCAACAUCUAUUUAUAUAAAAAAAUUUCAUGAUGACUUCUCCAUUUGGUGCUAGAUUUCCAUAGCAAAUCUAGAUUUUGCAUUUUUCAGAUAUGAGAAUUCGCCAUUCUAAGUUUAGAUUUCAUCGGUUUCAUCAUGUCAAACCGGGAGUUGAUGCAUUGUCACGACUGUAAUGAAUCGCAGCUCAAUUUUACACUUCUUUGUUGUAUUUUUCUUCCUUUUUUUUCAUGCUGCGCAUAACAAUUCUUCUAUAAUUAUUCCUGCAAAAUAAAGUUAAGAAUAGGGAGGAAACAUGAUAAUUUAUAUGUUUUUAUGAGAGAAAUUAUGUUGUUAAGAUCAUGUAAAAUACACUUAUCAGGUUCACGUGGGAUGUCGGAUCCGCCCACAAUCAUGUGGAUGAUGAGUUAUGGUUCUUCUAUUUCAUUUUUCAUAUUUGCCUCUCUUUCCUGAAAUUGAUUUUUGGCUCUGUCGCUGAGGAACCCUCGGAGGUGGCCUUUGUUAAGUAGUCGGGCUAUUUAUUCUUGGAGUUGUCUGCAAUCUUCGGUCCUAUGACUGUGUAUGCCGUGAAUUUCACACGUUAGGUUAAGGUUCUUUUGCGACGGAUUUGAUCAUAUGGGUUUUGGCCACUUGGUGUCUCUGAUUUUACCUAUGGCUGAUACGAUGUCUGAAACAUCAACGUUAAAGUUGUACGCAAAUAGUCGAGGUGCUUUCAUCGGCCUUAUGUAUCUGUUGAAUCUGGCUCUGCUCGCGAGUCCUUGAGAAUUUUGACAUCGGUCUGCCCUUCGGUCAUUUCGAGGUAUGUUAUGCCGUGGACCGUUUCUUCGAUCUUCGGUGUAUGGUUGGUAGAUUUCCUUAUUUGGCUUUGGCUCCUUUGCUAGGAGCCUGCUAGGAUAUACUGAGCCGGAAGGGUCUCCUAAUUGGUCAUUCUCGACCCUAAUCUUUGAUUGAUACCGAUUGUGGACAUCCGCCCAAGUCACGACAGGAUAUUCAACCAAGUUUUCCUCGGUAGUACCCAAUCAUUGUAGACUGGUGGAAACUCCAUUCACUCCAUUUUAAAAUGAUAUACAAACUCCUGCAACAUCUCAUUUGCUCUCUGUUUGAUUUUGAAGACGUCGGAUUUUCUUGUAGCAACCUUGAUGCCACCGGCAUGUGCCUUUAUAAAAAGAAUCUCCUAGCAUGGCAAAUGUAUCUAUCUAAUUUAGGGAUAUGUUCUUGUAGCAACCUUGAUGCCACCGGCAUGUUCCUUUAUAAAAGAAUCUGCUAGCAUGGCAAAUGUAUCUAUCGAAUUUGGGGAUAGGUUGUGAUACUACAUCAUGGCCCCUUUUGAAAGUGUUUCUCCGAAUUUCUUUAACAGGACGGAUUCAAUCUCGUUGUUCUUCAGGUCAUUUCCCUUUACGGAACAAGUGUAGGCAGUGAUGUGCUCGUUGGGAUCCAAGGUUCUGUCGUACUUUGGGAGAUUGGGCAUUCUGAAUUUCUUCGGGAUGCGCUUUGGAGCCACGCUUGAUGGGAAUGGCUUUUGUAGAAUUUUUUUGAAUCAACACCUUUCAGGAUCGGGGGUGCGCCUCGGAUUUGGUCGACCAUUGAAUUAUAGGUCUCCACCUUUUUAUCAUUACCUUCUAUCUUCUUUUCGCCCGAUUAAAUCCUCUUUGUGAGGUCCUCGAGCAUCUUCAUGAUAGCAGGGUCGGCUGCUAACCCGUUGCUUCUCGAUCUUUUCGAGCCGAUCCUGGUGUUGGUGUGCUUGGAGUUUUUUGGUGACUUUGCAGUUGAGCAAUCGCCAGGUGUUAUGUCUAUAACACAUCAAAAAUUGCGUGAAGGGUAAACUCUUGUUCCUCCCGAGCUGGGUUUUUCUGAGCUUCUUGUUGGUUGUCUUGGUAUAUACUUUUAGUAGUCUGGGAGUUAUAUCGACAUGUUGGGCAUUUCGUGAGGCCACAACCACGGGGAUUGGCUCUGGUGCAUCCUCAGGGUUUGUAGUGGUACAUCAACGCAUGAAACAUCUACACCAUUCUCUCCAAGGUCUUCAUGACCGUUGUUUUCAUGUGCAUUCAUUGAGUUAGACAUUUUGACCUGAAAUUAAAAAUUCUUGGGCAAGAAAAAGUGCAAAGAAUAACUUGUGUUUUCAGUAAACUAGCACGAAAACAAUCACUAAUAUUUUUAGCCCGUGGUGGCGCCAAACUGUUUACCUCGAAAAUAGUAAUUACAAUUAGAUUUGAUUCUCUGAUUUUAAAAAUAUGUGAUUUAUUUUUAUGCUAGUUGUUAGGCAGUAGAUACUAAGUGUGUGACUAGAAAAUAAAAUGAGAGCUUGAAGAUCGAACUCUGUGCAAACGGAGUAGCCAAGAAUUGGGGUCUCGAGCUAGCCUAUACUCAACCAAGAGAUCGAGCUAAGCAUUAGGCUUUGGGUAGCCGAUGAAGGACUAACAAUUCUAAGAGCUUUAAUGAGGGCUCUUUAUUAUCAAUAAUGAAUAAUAAAUGAAGAAUAAUCAAUGAAACAUAAUGAAUAUAAGCAAUAAAUCAAAGGAAAGACAAUAAAGAGUGUUUAAGUUAGAGAGCAGAGAAUGUUCUUGUUCUUGUAUUGAAUAUCAUGUGUGCAAAAGAUAAUAAGGACAGUGUUGAAUUUCUUGAUCGACGAAACGAGUUAUUGCCAUUUCAUUUUGACGGACGGUUCGGAUGGACUUCGCCGUUCUUUCCCAACAAAAAUCGAAAGGGUUGUAUCACAUCGAGAUGUCGAUUCGUUUUCCGCCCCCUCGAUGAAAGCCUCUUAGUCAGUCGAACUCUCAAGAAUCUCCAUCAUCGGCUAUCAAGAUACACUCAUACCCACCUAAUAAAGGUGGUAUUCUAUCUCCCAUGCACAGCUGGGCCUGAGGAUCCACAUUUCAAUAUUAUCCUUAGAAUCAGAGAGCUAAUGAGAAGGGAUUGGAGGUGCGAAUUGAGACAUAGAUCGCAUAGGUCCAACAUAAUCCUCCAAACAGGCAGCCAAAGAUGGGCGAGGAUCAAUUAGGCAGGAAGCUCUCAAUUUAUUUCAUACAUUACUUUCUUCUCAAGGUCGAAAGUACUUUACUUCAGUCACUGAAAGACGUGACUGAGGGCUUGAAAGAAGCCAAGCGAUCCGAUCAGAAGGCGGAGGGAAUGAAGGGACCUGCAGGAGGUUGAAAAGCGCCCGAUUCACCAAGGAAUAUUUUGGUUGCUUUUGGCGUUGAUUUCCCUUCCUUUAGCUACUAAGAUGUUUCACGCAUUUCCUGCUGAGAUCCCAAGUCUCCAAUUGGGCCCUCUUGGCCACCCACAACCUUGGCUUUUUAGAGAAUCCGCAUAGAGCUGCCAGCAGGGUUGAGAUAUGGCCUCUGCAAAGGUAUCAGGUUAAAAAGAUGGAUGAAAUUGCACGCGAAGUAUGGCAUCCUAUUUGAAAUGGAUGGUGUGAGGUUGUCAAAUGAUCGACAAGCACCGGUGGACUGCCGAGCGGAAAGUCCUACGACACAGGAGUGAGGGGGCCCACUGGGAUGUCCAUAAUUGAAGCAUUUUUCUUCAUCGACUGUGGGUUUUGACCUAUUCAAAAGAAGUUGGCCGCUUUGAGUCCCAAACUUUCUAUCUUAACAAUGCUGGAAGUUCCCUUUAUAUAGGAGGGUAAAUUCCAACAUAGUACAUAUGCAUUUAUUAUAAAGAUAUGCGGCUAGUACAGCCAUUUAAUGCCAUGGUACGAGAUUGUACUAUUCUUAUGGACUUGGCCAGCUCUAACCACUCGCCUUUAGAAUCUCCCACUCAUUCAUUAUAGCCAUCGAUUUGUACUACCUUGUCGAGGUUUGCCUCGAGCCUUCUGGUUCAUCAAACUUCCAGUUACGCCUCGAGCUUUCUGGCAACAAGCUAUGGAAUGUCAUGAUGACCUCAAAAUCGGACUUCCGAUGUUAGCCGUAUACAAAGGACUAAUUAACCCCCACCCCCAAACAUUAUUAAAUAAAUAUCGUUUUUAUAAACGAACACAUUUAUUUUUUUGAAAUAUUUUCCUCAUUCAUUUUUAUACCACUAAAUCAUGUGCUCAUUCGCUAAUUUUAUAAAUAAGAAAAUGGUCACGUUCCAAGUUUUUACAUCAAGAAAAUAAUUAAAACUAAUAAAAUAAUAAAACCUAAUGUUAACUUAGUGAUGUCCAUAUAAUCUUAAGUUGAAAAGGGGUUGUUUGAUUGGAUACAAGUUAUUUCAGAUUAUUUUGAAAUUUAUUAUUCUGGGAUUAUUAACCUAUUAUUCUAUAGGAAUAAAAAAUCACUAUAAUAACUAAUCACGUGAAUCCUAAUGGAUGAUUGAGAACAUCUAUUUGGCAGUUUUUUUCAUUGUUGAACUAGAUAUAUAGAUUAAUAUUUCUCAUUUUUAGGAACUUACACUUUAUUGAUAACUCAAACAUUAGCACCAAAAAAUUAUUUUUAAUAUAUAAUUUGAAUGAUUUUUAAAAAACUUUUUACUCAUUUAAAUAGGUACACGUAUAACGUACAUAUCCUAAAAAUAGUAAAAUAAAAUGUCAGGAACAUGUGUAAUCGUAAUCCAUUAUAGCGUUAUAAAUAAGACGUUUCAUAUAGCAACCGAGGGAGGCCUUAUGUUAGGGUAGGGGGUUGAUUCACUGGAAUCCGAUAUAUAACUUUGAUAUAUAGGGACAUACAUCAAGGACCUCUUAAAUAUAUUAAUGGUACCCCAAAAAUCACAAAAGACGCCAUGGUAGAUUUUGUUGAAUUCCUACUUGCACUUGUCAACUUGGGAUCACAACCCAACUCUUGCAUUUUAGGUUUUACUUUUACUUUUCAUAGGGAACCACAUUUACUUUUACUGAUUUCAAAAAAAAAAAUCAAUUGUAAUUUAAUACCUGUACAUAGUAAUCAACUUAAUUAAUACUAUUGUUCUUUUUAAGUACCUCCCUCAAAAUAAAAGGCUCUAAACCGUUGCUUCUCUUUCUACAAAUAGAAAAUUAAAAAAUCUCCCUUCCUCUAAGGAUCACUUCGAUAAAGUAGCAACAUCUCUUAAUUUAGCAAAGACGACUCAGUUUAUAUUUUGUUGAUAAAUUAUUAUAAUCGUUAAGGUUUUAAAGAGUUGCAAGCCGAAAUUUAUUGCUGAUAAUUAGCAUUAUCUAAAGAUAGUGUACAUCCACCGUCGUCGCACUCAAAUUUUGGGUCUGGCAACAACAUACUACUUAAUAUAAGGUUCCACAUGUAUUCAGCUGAUAGCGCCGGGGUGGAUGUAUUCAUACAAAUCCUAUAUAUCAGCUGAUAGCUUAGGCUCCACAACAAUAAUGUCACUACAUUUUAGAAAACUUGCUAUUCAUUAUGAGGAAUAGUUUUUAAUUUUUUUAAAAAAAAAGCGAAGAAGAAGAAACCCUGUCGAGUUCUGGUUGUUUAGUUCUGAUUUGGAUAUCUCCCAGAUGGCUGUGUUAGUAUAAUUACACCAACAUAGCAUUCUUAAUCCUCGAAAUAUAAUUACACCACUGCUUAUGUUUUGAGUGAUGGAACAGUCCAGUGAUUGGCAACUAUUUUGGACUCUCCGCAUAGUGCUUUCGAGACCUUCCUUUCAACUAAAUAGCUUGCAUUUGCCUUUAAUACAACCAAAAGAUCUAUUCAUUGAUUGGUACUGGAUAGAGAAGAAACAGAAACCUGAGUGUCAUAAAUUAAUACUUACCCACAUUUUCAUGGAUUAACAAAAUUGAUCAUUUACCCCAACCUAUAGUUUUUUCCCACUUCACCUUGAACUACAUAAAACUGUGGUUCGGAGGUGGAGGCCCCAUGUAAUGGUACUGGACAUAUACCAAAAGAAUCUGUAUAACGAUCCGUCUCAAAUAAAAUGCAUAAACGUCAAUGCAAUCACAUAAAUCCAUGUUCUAAACAAGUGCUUCAAAUGCAUCGAGAACACUCAACACAAGGUGCAAAAUAACUUGUUCCAAAAUCCAAAUUAUUCUAAACUAAUGACGAUCUUACAUCAAACUAAAGGCAGUAUCACCACUCAGACUGUCAGCCUAUCUUUAUGGCAGGUCUUUCAUCUGUCAAUACCUCCUAGGGAAACGGUCCAUAAACCUUCCGGAGGGGCACUCGAAUGCUUGGUGUCCUCUUCCCCCGCAGUUGUGACAAAUCAUCAGGGCCAUGCAAUCACGUCUCAUAUGGCCUACCUGCUGACAAGUUCGACAAAUAAUGUCCCGGAAUCCACCACCACAAUACGGCAGGUCUUUCAUCUGUUAAUACCUCCUAGGAAAACGGUCCAUAAACCUUCCGGAGGGGCACUCGAAUGCUUGGUGUCCUCUUCCCCCGCAGUUGUGACAAAUCAUCAGGGCCAUGCAAUCACGGCUCAUAUGGCCUACCUGCUGACAAGUUCGACAAAUAAUGUCCCGGUAUCCUCCACCGCCACUAAACCCACGACCACCAAACCUACGAGAUGGAUGUCCUCUUCCACCACCUCUCUCUUCAAUAACACUGGCCUUGGGGCAAUCUCUGGCCAUAUGACCAGAUAUGUUACACAAAUUGCACACAGGAUCAUUUUGACAAUCACGUGCCAGGUGACCAGUCUUUCUACAAUUUUUGCAUGCCUUCUCAUUUGUGCAGUCAGUUGCAAGAUGCCCUUGCUUGAAGCAGUUAUUGCACAGCUUCACGUCCCCGGGUGGAAGUGGAGGAGCAGUGCAGUCUCGCGCACGGUGUCCUGCCUUCCCACAGGUGUGGCAAAUUCCUUCAUUUGGACAAUUUCCGGCCGUGUGGCCUGGUUCUCGGCAAUUCCAACAAAGAGAUUUUGUGGAGCACUCGGAGGCAAUAUGUCUAUUGAAAUAUUCAAAGAAAACAAGAAUAACAAGUUAAUAAGUACUAGUGGUUUAUCCAAACUAAUUAACCCAACUUCCACAAACACGCAUGGCAAGAAAGAUGCACCUAAGAAGUAUGCAAAAGAAGGAACAAAAACCCCAAGAAAAGGGAAGCAAAAGUAUAUUCCAUCGAGUGACUUUUCAAAGCUAGUACCUUUUGACAAGAGAAAGGGCAGGAUAAGUAUAUUCCAUCAAGUGACUUUUCAAAGCUAGUACUUUGUUUUUGACAGGGUAAAGCAGUGAUUUAUAAACUAGUAUUAUACUGCAUGUAGAUACUUCAUUCAGGCUUUCAUGUUGUGUGUUCAUGCCCCUGAUAUGUAGCACUUGUUGAUUCUCGAAGUAACAUUUUAGCACAUGGGUUCAAGUGUUUGAGCAAUAAGACUUGAACAAAAAAGUGUUUGAGCAGUAAGACAAAAUUUUAAGUAGUACACAGUAAGAUUACAAGUAUAACGACACUUCUAACAAUUGUUUGGAUACGCAUAUAAGCUAAGGUACUAAAAUUGAUGUAUUUAAUAUCAUUUGAAAGUGUAAUGACUUAACCUUGCGGUUUCUUCAUUUCUCAAUAUGGCAUGACCAGGUCUGUGCAACAGGGCAUUGGUUUUCACGGAAAUAUUUCCCCACUAAUUAGGUUGUAAGAGGACAAGAGGGGUUGUUCUGAUGGUAAGCAACCCCCACUUCCAACCGAGAAGUUGUGAGUUCGAGUCUCCCCAAGAGCAAGGUGGGAAGUUCUUGGAGGAAAGAUGCCGGGGGUCUAUUUGGAAACAGUCUCUCUACCCUAGGGUAUGGGUAAGGUCUGCGUACACACUACCUUCCCCAGACCCCACUAAGUGGGAUUAUACUGGGUUGUNNNNNNNNNNNNNNNNNNNNNNNNNNNNNNNNNNNNNNNNNNNNNNNNNNNNNNNNNNNNNNNNNNNNNNNNNNNNNNNNNNNNNNNNNNNNNNNNNNNNNNNNNNNNNNNNNNNNNNNNNNNNNNNNNNNNNNNNNNNNNNNNNNNNNNNNNNNNNNNNNNNNNNNNNNNNNNNNNNNNNNNNNNNNNNNNNNNNNNNNNNNNNNNNNNNNNNNNNNNNNNNNNNNNNNNNNNNNNNNNNNNNNNNNNNNNNNNNNNNNNNNNNNNNNNNNNNNNNNNNNNNNNNNNNNNNNNNNNNNNNNNNNNNNNNNNNNNNNNNNNNNNNNNNNNNNNNNNNNNNNNNNNNNNNNNNNNNNNNNNNNNNNNNNNNNNNNNNNNNNNNNNNNNNNNNNNNNNNNNNNNNNNNNNNNNNNNNNNNNNNNNNNNNNNNNNNNNNNNNNNNNNNNNNNNNNNNNNNNNNNUGUGUAGGAGGGGCUUUUUUUUUGGGGGGGAGGGAGGGGGGGGGAGGUUAAAGAUAAUAACAAGGCUACGGGAAUGGCAUUGGCAGCAUCUACACUAAAUACAUAAGCCAAUAGUUUAACAAAGAAUGUAACUGUAAUCAAAGUUAAGAGCAAUGCUGAGAUUUCCAAAGUUGGGGGAGGAGGGAAGGGAACUAGUAAGUAGUUUAUCAGCAAAUUUCUAGAUGCUUACCCAGGAAGACCGCAAUUGUGACAUAUUGCCACAUUAGGGCACUCCCUAGCAAAAUGACCAGGUCGUUUGCAGUUCUUACAGAGACCGUCUGGGCUGCAAAGAAAAAAUAAUUGAUUAUUGUUGGAAAGAUAGAAAAAAGAAGGUAAAGCCCACGUCAAUCUUCCUCCAGAAGAGCAAAAGAAUGAAAAACUGUAGAUCCUAGAAAGAGUUGAAGAUUUCUUGACCUAUCUAGCAUGCACAUAAAAUCAUAGAUCAUAAACAGCACUAUUAUCAGUCAAGAGAGAGUGGUUGUGAAAACUUCACAACCGAGCAUUUCAAUCUAAUGCAUAUGAAUAUCAGGGUGGUAAAUAUGCUUCAAAUAGUCAUGUUCAGCUUAGUCCAUUAGUUAGUCUUAAAUUGUGAAACAGCUUUUUAUUUUAGAAGUGCAAAAAAGAUAAAUCUUGAAACCAACUAGUAGCUACAAUUCAACCUAUCCACACAUUCAUGUUAAAGCAACUGUAAAAGCAAGAUAACAAACAUCCUCCAUUCCCAUGUCUAACAGACAGAACUCCCUUAGUUCCAGCCAACAAUUGCUCGGGAAUGAGAACAGUUGAGCAACAUACAAAUGAUUAAAAACCAGAUAACCUGAAGCCCCCACGUGACUCCCGUCUAUAUGGUGCAUCACUGUAGGAAUACCGUUCCGUGCGGAUUUUACGAUCUCUUGGGCUCCUGCUUCUGCUCCUGCUUCGGCUUCUGCUGUCAGAUCUCAUUUUGAAAACUAUCACGAGUAAACCACCACUAAAAAAACCACCUGCAAAAUAUCACCACACCACCACCAGCAGCUGCCUCCUCCUGUCCACCACAACCACACAUCCAAGACCACAUCACAAAUCCAUAAAAAACCUCUACUCCCGUGAUUUAUAUACCAAACCCCCAACACCACUAAGGAGACAGUACACAAUAGCAAGACCAGUUAGACAUCAAUGUUAAAUACACUCUCUUUUUUUUAUUAGCACCGGGUGUCCGAGUCUCUAAGAGCCUCGACUAAUCCCCGGGGUGCACAGGCCCUCGUCAAGGAGUUUCCCGGAAGUGCACCACGGUUAAUUCAGGUUUUACCUAGUCCGAUGGCCUUCAGAAAUUGUUUGCACCCGCUGGGUUUCGAACUUGAGACCUUGAAAGGGAACAAACCCCAAAACUCAAGCCAAUUAUCAUCAGGCCAACCCCUAAGGAUUCAAGGUUAUAUACACUAAAAAGCUGUUGACACAGGAACGUCGUCUCCAGCCACAUCCUACAUACUGUGCACAUCUCGUGGCAAAUAGAUACCCACACAUUAUCAUUAACAUUCUAGUCACCACAGACGAUCUCAUAAUGCAACUUCAUAAAAAUAUAGAGACAGCUUCAGUAACCAGCAGAAAAGUGACAUAAGUGUUGGUAAAAGGCAAAGCUUUGCAAACAACAGCUACUACUUCGAAUAUAAACUACCUAAAACAGAGAAUACAACAUAUAUGUCAAGUGGUAAGAAAUCAGGUUAUAUUUCUCAGUCCAAUGAUACUUUCCCUCUUUUUCAGACCAGUAUUAUCAAAGGUGAAAAGGGCAAAAAAGCUCUAAGGUCCGUUGGGGCUUUAAGUUCUAAGCGCAAAUAAAGCGUGAGCUUUAACGAGAAAAGGCACAACCGGAGAAAAAGUGAAAAUAUGUAUAUCUAGUCCAACACUAAUAAUUAUAAGUGUGAAUAACAAAUAUAUGGACAAAGAAAUUAGAAAAAAAUUACGAAAAAAGUAAAAUAUCAACUGUUUAGUGUCGCCUUUACAGGAUUACACUCAUUGGCAAGGAAAAGUAUGUGUUAGAGCCUUGAUAAAAUACAAAAGUGCACACAAAACGGGAAAGCGCUCAACAUGUUUUGAACCUCGCUUUAGGGCUUAAGCGCGCCUUUGACAACACUGUUUCAAACUGCAAUCAACUGAAACAAGUGACAUAUUGGCUACUCACAGAAAAAACAGAAGCUUAAGGGUAAACUUCCUCGUCAAUGUUAUUGAUUGUUCACUCUUUUGUUAGGUGGAGAUGAAUGUCCAUCACUGUGCAGUAGCUUCUACUAGGAGUAGAUGCCCAAUGAAGAAACUGCUCAAGAGCAAGGAGUUAUGAAUAUCAUUCCAGAGUGUGCGUGCUUCAUGUCAGUUGAAGAUGUACAAUCUCUUUAGUAGGGAAGGACCACAGUUCUUUAUUAAAAAUUAAUUGCAUUAAGCACAAGGUCCCUUAUUUCCUUUUUAAAUAUAAUUGACCAUGCCCUUGUAUCAUUUCUGCAUUUCUGUCCAUACAUAUAAUCCUAACUAUUAACAUCUUUCCAAGUAUGAAUCCUCAACCCCCCACCAGUCCCACCAAAGUCCCAAGUAACACAACCCAUUGAUAAGAGCAAGUAUUACAAAUUGAGCGAAAAUUUGCUAAAUAACAUUAAAACUACCCCCAAUAUCAGCAAGGGACUACCUUAUGCCCUUUUCUCCCCUGUUAUCACCUCAGUUGUGCUGCAUUUCGCCAGUGUUGUCAAAGGCGUGCUUAAAGCGCACUUAAGCCUUGAUGCUAGGCUCAAAGACAUACUUUUCCUUGCGAACAAGUGUAAUCCUGAAGAGGCAACAUUAACCCAUUUAUAUUUUACUUUAUCGUAAAUUUUCUUUUUUUUUUGUCUAUAUAUUUGGUAUUUAUAGUUAUAGAUGUUAGUCUUGUACUACACGUACAUAUUUGUAAUUUUUCUCCAUUUGCACCUUUCUUCAUUAAAGCCCGCGCUUUAUUUGAGCUUUGCGCUUAAAGCCCCAAUAGACCUUAGAGCUUUUUUGCGUUUUUCGCCUUUGAUAACACUGAGUGGCGCUACAACCCUAGAAGAUCUCCAUUACACCCACCCCUCCCCCUUUAUAAAACGACGUACCAAAUCCGAAGCCUUAAUUGCAAGGCAAGUGCUAACUGGUAAAUGAGGUUCCUAUCUUGGAGUGGAGGUGUACUACGUUCACCAACCGAGCUAUCCGUGCCACACCAUAGCUCUUGGCAACUUCAUCUUAAACUUGAAACUUGAAAGUUUGAAUGGACCCAUUGCAUCAAUUUAUACACCAAUCCAUUCACUUCCUUUUCUAGUUUUGGCAAGUGUUAGGUUUCUUGUUCUGAGUCUUCACCUUCUUUUGAAAAAAAAGGUAAAACUUCUCCCUUACCCCAAUUCCAUGGGUACUAUCUGAAUUCCCAAAGGUCAACUUGCCUAAUUUCAAAGUAUAGUAGUUCACACUUUUGAAAAGAAAUAAUUAAAAUUUGCCAAAAUUACUCUUCAUAAAAGAAGGAUAAGAAAAUUAUCCUACAAUUUAUUACCAACUACAAGAUGUUUUAAAGCCCUUAUUUAAGUUAAUCCAUUUGACUCUAGGAAAGCAAAAGGUGAAACUUCUUGGUAAAAAAUAAGUUAAAGAGGAGAGGAUACUCCACAAUACAAGCCCAGGCCAACUACCAAUCUACAAGCAGUAGAAAUUCAAAGAAAGAAUGGUGAAUACACUAGAUCACUGAUAAUUUAUGUAGUCACUUUCACCUAGUAGAAAUCCAACAACUUCCUAGUGCAGCCCAUUCCCAUGUUAUCCAUCCCUGCAUAAUUCAAUCAUAGCAAUAUAAUUCCUCCUCACUAUAAUAUGCUGUAUCAUAAGACCAAAUGAGUAAAUGACCUCAAUAUGCACAAUCACAUGAUUCACUAGUAAGGUGCACUGCUCCACCACAUGUUGAAUUGAAAAUUAUAAUUUGUCCAAAAGUACACUUCCGAUUCAGUGGAGAUUUAGUGCUCGAACAAAAACUUGCAUUUGGACCAAUUCAAUUUGUUAGAAAUGAAGGGACAUAAAUUAUAAUUUCUUCUAUUCGUAACUCAUUCUCAACCAGUCAACCCAAAACUCUAGUUGAAACCAACAUCGCAUUCACUUUGUCUAUGACUUAACAAUAAAUUAGCUGAACGAGCGAACUACACAAUUAUAUUGCUUCACAGCAUCACCCCCACAACCUCACCACAACAAAAAAAAAACCAAUAACCAAAGAAGACCAGCUAACUACCAUUUAUGGAUGAAGUCAGCCUUAUUUGAUAUAGCACAUGCAACCCGCCAACCCAUCACCAAGAAGUCCUUAUUGGCUCUUUUCUUCCCAAUGACUUGAGCCAAUAACCUCAAAGUUGGAGGAUCCUUUAGAUUUGUCUUUUACAUAUGUAGUCAGUAUUUUGCUUUCCACCAAAGAGAAGAUAUAGUGGAUUUCAGAUUUUGGUGUCAUCCUUCAAUGACUAAUAACUAAAAAUGUUCUCAUCUCCGUCGAAUAGAAUUUCAAUUGUACUCUGUAUGUAGAAGAGGGGUUUGCUUUGAUGGUAAGCAACCCCCACUUCCAACCGAGAGGUUGUGAGUUCGAGUCUUCAAAAGCAAGGUGAGAAGUUCUUGGAGGGAAGGAUGUCGGGGGUCUAUUUGGAAACAGUCUCUCUAUCCCAGGGUAGAGGUAAGGUCUGCGUACACACUACCCUCCCCAGACCCCACUAUGUGGGAUUAUACUGGGUUGUUAUUGUUGUUGUCUGUAUGUAGAAGAGCAACAUAGAUUACUUCUACCCACAAACCAGGCAACCUUUUACAUCCGGAAUAUCAGACAAAAAAUCCUCCCCAACUUUCCCUUAGGUCACUUCCAGCCACAAACCAGGAAACCCUUUUGCAUCCAUAAUUUCAAACAUGAAAUUCUCCUCAACUUCCAUUCCAUCAACCAGUUUCUACCUAAAAUCAAGGUAAACAGAGUACAGCCAGCAAUGCAUACUCACAGCUUGAGCUAGCGGGCGAAUUUGCCACCUCGUCUCAGACAUUUAGUGAUUUCCCACUUCAGCUCUCUCCAUUAAGUAUUAGUAGAUGAUAAAAUCACACACGACAAAAACCUUAAAAGAGCAUAGAACGAUAGACGAUAGGCAAAUAAAAUUUGCAAAAAUUACUAAGCAAUACAAUUAAUUGCACAUAUAAGCCGGUGGUUAAGCUACAUUUCUAAUUGCUACAAAAAUCAGAUGUUUUUUUAAUAUAAGUGCCAAUAAGUCCGAAACCCUAGUUAAUGUUUUACUAUGCAAACCCAAGUAAAAAUUAAGAUGAUGAAAAGAACCCUAAGAACCACGGUUCAAAUCCCACCAGAGGCAAAAAAAAAACCCAAAGCAGAGAAGACACAGCACAAGUUUGUACAUUGAAGAGUACAACGUAACCCUAAAACUAUUCCAAGGAAUCGGAGACAGAGGUAAUUUCUUGCUAUUAGAUAAAAUAAAUAGGUGAAUAAAUCGAGAGGAGAGAGAUAAAUGUACCUGCAAGCUUACGAAAAUGGAGAAUCCGCAGCGAAUGGAUAUGGGGAAAACUGCGACCCAAGUAACUGCGCCUGGGAAUAAGUGCCAAAGGGCUAGGACAGCAAAUCCCUUAAAUAGCCUUCGAAAUGCUACUUUCUUUUUUCCAAUUUCCGACCUCGUGUCCGCUUGCCUGCAUUGCGACCCAAUUAAUCGUGAAUUUGUGACGUAAGGUCCAUUUAAUGGACAAGCAUUUCCUAUAGAAUUUUUCUAUUAUCUGUUCCAUCAAAAAAUUUAGGGUCUUUCUGAAAAUAACCAGGUAAUUAAAAUUGUGUAAUUACUAGGGUUUUAUCCUACUAUAAUUAGUGUUGUAACUAUAUGGCCAAAAUUCGGCCAGAAAAAUUCAGUACAAAAAGAUACUAUAGUGGGAAGAUCGUAAUUCGUCAUGGGCGGCUCAGCUAAGUAUGACUCGGACAAACCUCCGAAGAGUUCAUCCUGGACGAGGUCGAGGACAAGGAAAACAAAUCAUGCUCAAGAGUCGAUUGGUCUGAAGUCAUGUUCCUAAAGCAAGCUAACGAAUCGAGCAGCCGAGGUCGGAGUCGAGCACUUAGAUUGGCCAGAAAUGGCUAGUUUUAGCAAUAAAAUAUUCCAAGGGAAUAUUCUAUAUGAUAUUCUCUACAUUUUGUACUUUAAAUAGGUAAGAGAUAUAUCUCAUAUAAAUAGUAAGAGAGAGAGAAAAAACCGUCAAAAUUUCAUUUGAUAAGUUCUCUUUGGAGAAGUUGACUCCUAUAUAACUACAAGCGUUAUCUAUAAAGAAUAUUCAUUUUGUUGUGUUGAUCCGAGCUUUUUCACGCUAGAUCCGAUAAAUUGUUUAUUAGAUUAUAGUAUUCACAAUGCAUGCAUUAAAACGCAUUGCAUUGUUAAUACAGUGGUUGCCUAUGCAUUAGUUAUGCAUAGGACAAUAACAAAUCGGGUGUAUAACUAAUGCUUGCAUAACUAAUUCAUAGGUUUCAAAAAGUGUAUCAAACAAAGUAUCAUUAAUAAUGUAAGCACAUAUUUUUUUACCUGCAUAAUUUUUAAGUUAGUUUUAGUAUUUUAAAUAUUUACCUGAGUUAUUAUAGAUUUUUAAUCCAUUUUUAUUACCACUUUAUUAGUUUAAUUUUAUUUGAGCAUUUGUACUUCACUCGUUAGUUUACGGGCAUGAGUAGCUCUCGAUGAUAUAUUAUGACUUAUGUGAAUCGUCGAUUUUGAUAUUUAGGUCACUUAAAAGCAAUGCAAUUGAACCCACUAUAAUAAAUUAAACUUAAAUGCAUUGAAAGUGCAAUGAAUAUUUAUGCCAUCAGUUGAACUGAUAUUGUAAAAAUGCUUUUUGCAAUUAGCAUACAAAUCAAAUUAGCUGCAAUUACAUUUUAAGUAACAUGAUUGUGUAAAUUUUUUUAAAGCAUAAUAACUUUAACUUAAAUAAAUAAAAUGUAUAUAUAUCAACAACAACAACAGUCUUGUAUAAUCUUACAACUGAAAUUUAGGAAAGGUAAUAUAUACGCAGAUCUUACCCCUACUUCGAGGGGCAAAAGAGCUAUUUCCAAAAUAUUCAUGACUCAAAAAAAACAACAAGAAACGAUAUAUUAAUAAUAUCAAUAGACAUAAUUUCCGAGUCACUCCACAAAUAUGUAGUGUGCGCUAGUGGUGCUCUUCACGCACAGAUUUUCAUUCAAUUACUUGAAUAUUCCUUACUUUCUUACUUAUGGAGUUGUUAUGCAUGGCAAAACAAAUAAGGCUGAAGAUUAAGGGAUAAAAUCACAAAGAAUAACAAAAAAAAACAGAAGCAAACAGGGUACUUUUUCGAUUAAGAUGCACUAUAAUCUAAUCUAACCAAAAACUCAUAAAUAGAAGCAACCACAAUUUUUUUUAUAGCUAACCUAAAAUAUAUUCGUACAAUUUAAAAAAGUCAGAAACUUACAUAGGCGGCGAGAAGCAAAUGUUAAUGUACAAGGAGAGAGUAGCCUAGCGAAAACAGCAUCUCUGUCCCUAUCGGGCCAGUGGUAAGAUCUGCGUAUACAUUAUCCUUUCAUGACGCCUUUGAAUAAUAAUAUGCAAAAUUUGAGAGAUUCUCAAGCCAUGGCAUGUUAUCUUCCGGAUAUGAUGAUGAUGCCUUUUAGACUAUGACACCUUUGGAUAGAUUGGCGAUAUUUAUGCUCAUGAUAUGCAAUAAUGUGAUGUUAACAAGACAAGAUUUAGUCUUGUGAAAUGGAAGGCAGAGCUUAGCCCGAUUGAAAAGCAAAUAGGUGAUACCAGGAAUGGAGCAAUAUUUGUGCAAAGAGGGGCAAUGCUUAGUCCCAUGCAAAUGGGGAGGCAAGGACUAGCCUCAUGAAAAUAGAAAAGCAAGGAUUAACCUCAUGCAAAUAUGGAGUCAGGGAUUAGCCUCGUACAGAUGGGGAGGCAAGGAUUAGCCUCAUGCAUAUAUGGAGGCAAGGAUUAACCCCAUGCAGAUAGGGAGACAUGGAUUAGCCUCAUGCAAGUACAACGGCAAGGAUUAGCCUCAUGGAAAUACGGAGGCAAGGAGUAGCCUCAUGCAAAUAGGGAUACAGGGAUUAGCCAUAUGCAAGAUAGGGAGGUAGGGAUUAGCCUCGUAUAAAUGCGGAGGCAAGGAUUAGCCUUAUGAAAUAUGGAUGCAGAGAUUAGCUUCAUGCAAGAACGAAUGCAAGGAUUAGCCUCGUGCAAAUAUGGAGACAUGGAUUAUACUCAUGCAAGUACGGAUGCAAGGAUUAGCCUCAUGCAAAUAUAGAGGCAGUGAUUAGCCUCAUGCAAGUACGGGGGCAAGGAUUAGCCUCAUGAAAAUGUGGAGGCAAGUAUUUGCCUCAUGCAAGUACGGGGGCAAGGAUUAGCCUCAUGCAGAUAUGGAGGCAAGGAUUAGCCUCAUGCAGAUACGGAGGCAAGGAUUAGUCUCAUGCAAAUACGGAAGCAAGAAUUAGCCUCAUGUAGAUGUGGAGGCAAGGAUUAGCCUCAUGCAGAUAUGGAGGCAAGGACUAGCCCCAUGCAAAUAUGGAGGCAAGGAUUAGCCUCAUGCAAGUACGGAGGCAAGGAUUAGCCUCAUGCAAAUAUAGAUGCAAGGAUUAGCCUCAUGCAAAUAAGGAGGCAAGGAUUAGCCUCAUGCAAGUACGGAGGCAAGGAUUAGCCUCAUGCAGAUAUGGAGGUAAGGAUUGGCCUCAUGCAGAUAGGGAGGCAAGAAUUAGCCUCAUGCAAAUAUGAAAGAAAGGAUUAGCCUCAUGAAAUAUGGACGCAAGGAUUAGCCCCAUGCAUAUAGGGAGGUAAGGAUUAGCCUCAUAGAAAUGUGGAGGCAAGGAUUAGCCUAAUGUAGAGAGCAAGUAGCAAAUAAAAGUAUCAUAUAUCUUAGUUGGAGAUAUAUUCGGUGUCUGAUGUCCUGAUUGAUAGAGAAAUGCUUACGUGUAUAUAUUUGAGGAUGCUAUCGCUACGUCACAUGUGCUUGCGUUCAAAGAAAAAUCGUAUGUUUGUGAGGGGAGGUUGGUUCAUGCCUACAAACCACAGAUGAAUGGAGCCGUAGAAACCGCCAAUAAAAAUAUCAAGUAGAUACUAAGAAAAAUGAUAGAGAAACAUAAGUAGUGGCAUGAGAAGUUAUAAUUUGCUUUAUUAGGGUACCACAUCAUAGUCCGCACAUCAACAGAGGGUAACCCCUUAUAUGUUGGUUUAUGGUACAGAAGUGGUCAUUUCCACCGAGGUAGAAAUUCCCUCUUUAAGGAUCAUACAGGAAGCAGAACUCGACGACGCAGAGUGGGUGAAGAAUCAUUACGAGCAGUUGGAGCUUAUAGAUGGGAAAAGAAUGAAUGUAGUUUGCCAAAGUUAGAUUUAUCAUAACAGAAUGUCCAGAGCCUUCAACAAAAGGGUCAAGCUGAGACAAUUCACAUCGGGACAACUGGUAUUAAAGAAGAUUUUUCCACAUCAAGAUGAAGGCAAAGGGAAGUUCUCUCCCAACCGGCAAGGCCCAUAUAUGGUUCAUUGGGUUCUAACAGGAGGAGCUCUUACACUCGCAGAAAUGGACGGAGAAGUUUGGCCAAAACCAAUCAAUUCAGAUGCAGUCAAGCGAUACUAUGUGUAACCAUUUAUUAUUUCCUUAUAUCAUUUGAACUACGUCUGACCUAAUUCCCGUUUAAGAGGGGAUACUAGGUAGCCUUAUGGGUUCGGUCACGUUCAAUAAAAUUUUCAUUUCCCUGCAAUUGAAAACUGGGGUAGAAUUUUUAGAAGGACCCUCAAAAUUCCAAAGUAAUUUCAGCCGAUCACUGCAAGCAGCCAUCAGAAGCACCAUCCCAGUAAACUAGGGCAAAAUUUUGAGGAGGACCCUCAAAAUUCUGGAGCAAGAAAGGGUGCAAUAUUUUGAACCGCGUCACAGUCGUUGGUUCCUCUAAAGAAAACUAUUCUUAAAUUAUAUAUUUAUGCUAUAUUUCUACCAAAUUAUGCACAAGUUUGAAUUGAGGUGCGAUUUAUCGUUUUGAUAUCAUUACGUGUAAUUUCAGGUCUAAGAUCCGUAUUAUAUUAUGGAACUUAUCGGGAUAUUCGGGCGUGUUUCAAAUUGAUUUCGGAACUUUUUUCAAAUAACACUUGAAUCAAAGUAUAACAACCUAGUAGAAUCCCAAAAAUAAAAUACAACUACAAGAUGCAAUUAUAAAUGAAACAAAAUGUAAAAUAACACUCCAAAGACGGCAAUAAAAGAGUUUUUAGGUCUAUAUCUUAUAUAAUAAUGAGCAGUACGGAAGUGCCAAAAUGUUGAAUCUGACUCUAAUAAUUAUCAAAUGUUUGGGAAGUUGCACAAUACAUCAUAUUUUCAUGGAAUUACAGUUUAAUUGUACUUGUUAAAAAUACCAUUUUGUCAUCGAUUCAGUCUGUCAAUUUUGACUUUUCUAUUGUAUAAAAAAGGAAAGAUAAUCAAUCAAAGGUAUAUAUGUUAGUUCAAAAAAAUUCUUAUAUUAUUUGUAUUUUUUAAAUGUAAAGUGUCAUUAAUACAUUCGAAUCCCAUAUUUUUUAAUCAUAACACUCCUUUAAAUAUAAUAUUAAUUAGACUACUUUUUCAGAAAGUACUACAUGUAAAUACUCAUUUGGAACGUUCUUUCUCUUAUUUGGUAAAUUAAUUAAAUUUGGUUUAGUUAACUAGAAGUUUCCACAAAAAAAGUAAAAAUAGUUUUUAAAUAAUAAAUAUCUGUAAAUAUUUACAAGAUUUUCGUAUCUAUCCGUAGUGUUUUAAAGCAAUUUAAAAUUUAAAAUUUAAAAUUAAAAGUUUUCAUCUAUCUACACUAUUUGAAGGCAAUUUCAAACUAAGAAAAAAUUAUAUAUUCAAAAGUAAUUUUAAAAAGUAUAGUUUAUUAUUAAAAGUUAAUUUAAUGUUCAUACUGUACUAGAAGACUAUCUCUUAUAUGCUUAAUUGAUAUGAAAAUUUAAUUUACAUGAACUCAUCUUUCAAGUUUUCAACUAUCAAUAAAUUAUCUCAAAAUAUUAUUUGUUAUAAUUUUUAUAUUGUUUCAUUAUAAAAAUUAUAACAUAUGAUAAAUCUACAGAAAAAUAAAACCAUUUCUCUUAUCUCUUUAAUUAAGAAAAAAUUAAAUUCCCUAUAAUUUAUACAGACUUUAAUAAAAUAUUUAUUAUUUUAUCAUCAGUUAACUUCAUUUAAACGAGUUGUAAUGAAUAUAAUUUGAACAACUUACUACAGUUUAUAUCAUAUUAAUAUUUAUCUAGUACAUUUGGUUCCCUUUGUUUGAAGUAGUAAAUUGCCUCUUUAAGAAUACAAAUCUGGUUAGAAGUUCUUUUUAUUUACUGUAUUAAAAAAUUCUCUUGAUUUUAUUGUAUAAUACAAGUCAGAAGACAUAAAAUAUUGUUAUAGUAAAUUUUUUAAUGGGAGAGGAUUUAGGAAAACAAUCUGCAGAAUCAAUUAAUGCAUCUUCUUUGGGUAGCCUAGAUUGUAGACUUUCGAUUCAGCUCAGGGAGUUGAGACAGCAAGGGCCAAAGGUAUUACUUAUUCAUCUUUACAAAACUAUUAUUGGGUUAUACUCCCUUCGUGACACAAUAAGUGGCUAAUUUGCUUUUAAUAUGCCCAUUAAAAAAAUACUAAAUUUUAUAUAAAAAUAUUUAAACUAUCCCUAAUUAUACAUUUAAUGUUAGAAGUAAGAAAUUUUUUAGGGAUAUGUAAAUAGGAAUUAUUUUGUAAAAACAAAUUGAAUUUUUUCUUGAUUACAUAAUUGAACACUUUUUUUGAACCAAAAUAAAGAAUAAACUGGUCACUUAUUAUAAAUCGGAGGUAGUAUUAGAUAUAUUUCCUUGUGCUUUGUGUUUGUUGCUAUCGUUUUUCCAAAAUGACCAUAAUUUUGAAGUUAUUGUACAAAAGAUAUUUGAUUCUUGUCAGUUUUUUUUAUAUUAUCAAACAUUUAAAUUUGAUUUUAUUCACAUAAUAAGUAGAGAUAUUUAAGUUGAAGCGUUGGGUCGUGUUCAGCAUCACCUUAUCUAGUAUUCUAAUAAGCAUAUGACAAAAAUCCAAAAUUGUUUCUUCUCUCAAUUAUUCACAUCAUAACAUGGUCCUCAGUUGUCACGAGUUUGGCCAAUAGCAGUAUGAAAUAAUUUCUUUUAAACUAUAUCUUUUCCGAACAUUUGUUGGCUUUAUUAGCUAUAAAAUUUGUUUAUUUAUAGUAUAGUUUUUAUGAAGUCACAAAAAUGUAAAACUUAGUAAUAAAAAUAAGAAAUCGAUAUUCAGAAUUACAUAUUUAUAGAUGCAUCCACUCGGGUCGCUUAAAUGCUAACAUUCUUUCUAAGACGACUAAGAAAAGUAGCAUUUGAACCGAGUACAAUAAUGUCUACCGGUUCGGGCCGGGUCGGUUUUUUCCGGCCCGUUCGGGUUCCGGUCCGGUCCGGGCUGGGUCGAACGGUAACGGGUUGUUAAGGGGCCGGGUUGGUUCGGGUUAUAAUUGAACCAUACGGGUUACGGGUUGAAAGGGCCAGCCGGGUUUAGUAUAUUUUCAAUUUUUUUUAAAUUAAGUAUAACUAUUAAGUUAUAAUUAUAUUAAUACUUUGUAAUAAUUGAAUGAAUACAAGUAAGAUGAGAAAAAAUUGCNNNNNNNNNNNNNNNNNNNNNNNNNNNNNNNNNNNNNNNNNNNNNNNNNNNNNNNNNNNNNNNNNNNNNNNNNNNNNNNNNNNNNNNNNNNNNNNNNNNNNNNNNNNNNNNNNNNNNNNNNNNNNNNNNNNNNNNNNNNNNNNNNNNNNNNNNNNNNNNNNNNNNNNNNNNNNNNNNNNNNNNNNNNNNNNNNNNNNNNNNNNNNNNNNNNNNNNNNNNNNNNNNNNNNNNNNNNNNNNNNNNNNNNNNNNNNNNNNNNNNNNNNNNNNNNNNNNNNNNNNNNNNNNNNNNNNNNNNNNNNNNNNNNNNNNNNNNNNNNNNNNNNNNNNNNNNNNNNNNNNNNNNNNNNNNNNNNNNNNNNNNNNNNNNNNNNNNNNNNNNNNNNNNNNNNNNNNNNNNNNNNNNNNNNNNNNNNNNNNNNNNNNNNNNNNNNNNNNNNNNNNNNNNNNNNNNNNNNNNNNNNNNNNNNNNNNNNNNNNNNNNNNNNNNNNNNNNNNNNNNNNNNNNNNNNNNNNNNNNNNNNNNNNNNNNNNNNNNNNNNNNNNNNNNNNNNNNNNNNNNNNNNNNNNNNNNNNNNNNNNNNNNNNNNNNNNNNNNNNNNNNNNNNNNNNNNNNNNNNNNNNNNNNNNNNNNNNNNNNNNNNNNNNNNNNNNNNNNNNNNNNNNNNNNNNNNNNNNNNNNNNNNNNNNNNNNNNNNNNNNNNNNNNNNNNNNNNNNNNNNNNNNNNNNNNNNNNNNNNNNNNNNNNNNNNNNNNNNNNNNNNNNNNNNNNNNNNNNNNNNNNNNNNNNNNNNNNNNNNNNNNNNNNNNNNNNNNNNNNNNNNNNNNNNNNNNNNNNNNNNNNNNNNNNNNNNNNNNNNNNNNNNNNNNNNNNNNNNNNNNNNNNNNNNNNNNNNNNNNNNNNNNNNNNNNNNNNNNNNNNNNNNNNNNNNNNNNNNNNNNNNNNNNNNNNNNNNNNNNNNNNNNNNNNNNNNNNNNNNNNNNNNNNNNNNNNNNNNNNNNNNNNNNNNNNNNNNNNNNNNNNNNNNNNNNNNNNNNNNNNNNNNNNNNNNNNNNNNNNNACCUUGUUUUUUAUUUCCACCCCUACCAGUAACUUUUCUAUACGCUCUUUUAGCAGAACUAAACAUAUUGUAAAAAUUAAAGUAUAAGCUAAAAUAAAACAUGCUAUUCAAAUAUUAAAUAAGAGAAAGAGUUGGAGGGAGUGCACCGAAUUCGACAAUAAAUUGAGCACUUGAUCAAAUAUGAAAUCUUACAAAUUGAAAGGAAGAGAGAUAGAUUGAUAAUUUGUGAAUUAAGAAAUUAAGAUUGAGAUAAGAAUGUUGAGUGAAGAAAUGAAGAAGAGAUGAGGGUAUUUAUAGAUUUUAAGAAGGGUUAAUAUUGUANNNNNNNNNNNNNNNNNNNNNNNNNNNNNNNNNNNNNNNNNNNNNNNNNNNNNNNNNNNNNNNNNAUUAAUAAAUACAAAAAAAUAAUGAAAAAAUGGCCAUUUUUGUAAAAUUAGCCGUUGGCCAACGGAAAUGUGGGCCCCACCAUUUCAAAAAAUUAAAAAAAAAUAAAAUAAAAAAAAUUACCAUUGAACCGGGCCGGUCCGGUCCGGGCUAUACCGGUUCACGGUACUGUUCAUGUUACCAGGCCGGUCCGGUCUGGUUCGGAGUAAAAAAAUUAUUAACGGAAAAACCCCCUACCCCCUAUCAACCCAGCCCAGCCCGCCCCCCUACCGGUCCGGUCCUGGGUUGUACCGGUCCGUUCCGGUUCGGUCCCGGGUCAACCUAGCCCGGUUGACGGGUUUAAUGCAAACCUUACCCCCCCUAUCUCAAAUAGAUAGAAAGGUUAUUUUCGGGAGACUCUUAACUCAGAGUUAAUAAAUCCGUAACAACAAUAAAAAUCAGAAAAAUAGUAUCAGCAUCGUAAAAUACAACAGAUAAAUAGAAAGGCCAAAAUGUGAAAGACAAGAAAAAAAAUGUGAAACAUAACAAAAACCGCUAGCAGUUCUAGACAAAACAUUAUCAGACUAACCGGUACAGCAAGGAGAAAUGCUCGACUACCUCCUAACCUAUAAUCUUAAUGUUCGACCACCAUACUUUCCUAUUAAGGGCCAUAUUCUCGAGAAUCUGAAACCGCGUCAUUUGAACCAAAGUACCUGGUAAAUAAAAGGAAGCCAUUUUAACCAAAGUAUGAAAUGACAAGUGGAUAAUAGAGCAAUUCUAUGACAGGUGAUUUUCACUCUUUAAUUGAUAAUUUUUAGAUAUAAGGUCUACAUUCUUUGGUCUUUUUUUUAAAUAUGGGACCUCCACUCCCUAGUUAAAGUUAUUUUAGAUAUAUGAUUUUCAUAAGAGCUGAAGAAGAAUAAACUACCACCUGCAGCUAGCAAGCAUCAAGGUUCAGAUAAAAAUCUAUGUGAAGAACUAGCCAAGCCUCAAGAUCAAGCUUCAAAAGACUUAUAGCUAGGUAUUUUGUAGCUCGUAGCUAAUAUGCUUAGUUAGUCUUUUUCAUUUUGAUUUUGGUGUAAUAAGGAGUUCAGCAACAACAACUGUGAAAUCACAGCUUUUUGAUAGUCUCAGCUAUCAAAACUUCCAGAAGUACACUGACAUGAUUCCUUUAUAGCCAAGGAUAUAUAUGCAACCUCCGAAGCAAAGUUCGGUCAAACUUUAGUUCAAGUGCUAUUUUUCUUUACUGGUUAAUACUCAUUGAGCUUAUGGACUGCUGCAAGCAAAUUCAGCUAAAUAAUUGAGGUUUAUCGGGAACAAUACUACAAAUUUCCGGGAUAGAAAGGGAUCUUCAUAGAGUUAUCUUAUUUUAUUUUUGGAUAGAUAGAAACCUAUAGUUCAAUACACAGAGCUCUUUGUUUUACAGUAGCUUUUGAAAUAGUUAGGUUAUAUUUUUAUCAGUUGAAAUACUUAGGCCUGAGAAAUAUAGUAAUAGCUAGCUAAAGCUAGUACAUACCGGGGAGUUAAUGCUUUAUAGAGCAUUGUAGUUUUUCAUCGGGCCAAAAUAUUACAAGUAAGGAUGUGUUUGGUACGAAAGGAAAAUAUUUUUUAAUUUUUUAAUGUUUGAUUGGCUUAAAUAUUUUUGAAAAAUAUUUUUCUUAUGAACUCAUUUUUUUUCGAUUGGGGGAAAAUAUUUUCCUUAUCAAGAGAAGGAAAAACCUUGGUGUAUGCUAUUUGCUGAUGACAUAAUCUUGAUAGACGAGACGAGGGUCAGUGUUAUUAAGAGGUUAGAGGUAUGGAGACAGACUCUUGAGUCUAAGGGUUUCAAAAUAAGCAGAUCUAAGANNNNNNNNNNNNNNNNNNNNNNNNNNNNNNNNNNNNNNNNNNNNNNNNNNNNNNNNNNNNNNNNNNNNNNNNNNNNNNNNNNNNNNNNNNNNNNNNNNNNNNNNNNNNNNNNNNNNNNNNNNNNNNNNNNNNNNNNNNNNNNNNNNNNNNNNNNNNNNNNAUGCCGAGCUGAGCGAAGUAGGCAGGGACGUGAUGAUUGGAUCCCAGGUCAUCGCCAAGAGGGACAGUGUAAGAUAUCUUGGGUCGGUGAUUCAGGGGAACGGAGAGACGGGGACGUCACUCAUCGUAUAGGAGCGGGAAGGUCUAAGUGGAGGCUUGCAUCAGGAGUCCUGUGUGACAAUAAAGUUCCACAGAAACUCAAGGGGAAAUUUUAUAGAGCUGUGGUUAGACCUGCAAUGUUGUAUGGGGCAGAGUAACCAUCGANNNNNNNNNNNNNNGAUUAAGAAUGAAGUUAUUCGGGAGAAGGUGGGGGUGGCCCCGGUGGAUGAGAAGAUGUGAGAAGCGAGGUUGAGGUGGUUCGGGCAUGUGCGGAAGAGAAGUCCUGAUGCCCCGGUGAGAAGUUGUGAGCGGCUGGCGAUUGUCGACGUUCGACGAGGCAGAGGGAGGCCUAAGAGGUAUUGGGGAGAGGUGAUUAAGCAGGACAUGGAUAGAAUGUGGGUUUCCGAGGACAUGACCCUUGAUAGGAAAGUCUGGAGGUCUAGCAUCAGGGUUGUAGAAUAGGGGCUCCUAGAGUUUUUCGUACGCCUCACCCGGGGUUGGGUGUGGGAUAGUAGGGUCACCCAUAGAUGAUUAGUGUUUUACCUUAUGUCCCCUUAUGGUUGUUAGUAUGGUAGUUACGGUUUGUUAUUAUUGCAUGCGACUGUAUUUAUGGUAGUUAUUUAUGUAGUUACUGUAUGAUAUUAUUGCAUGAUAUUUAUUUAUGGUUCUUAUGUUUAGAUA
rnacentral:lncRNA from 1 species